rnacentral:lncRNA from 1 species
GCUCAUGGACCUUGCUAGAUCAUCCCCAGCCAAUGCUGCAGCCAUUGUCACCCACCAAAACCCCUCAGAGUAAAGACUCCAAACCCCCCUUUAUAAUAACCCUGGAAAGCUCAGAUUCAACCGAUGAGCUCAAGAUGCUAGAGAAGGUGUGGAUGAAAUGGUGAGUAGAUGAGAUUGAUGGGCAUGGAGUGAUGUAGGAGGUGAUGGAGACUGGAAAGCGGUAGAGAAGUGGGCAUUACUGAGUGGCAGAGGAGAGUCUUUUAUGACGUACAUGAAAUUUUUAUGUUUGAUCACUUGACAGUUCGGGAGACUUGAGAGUUGGCUGGUGAGACUUUCAUGCAUAUGGAUGCAAAUCUUUUUCGGCUUAAUUAUGGCUGGCAUAUAGUUUGGAGAGGGUAAGUGUGUUUUUGGUGUCUCCGUGUUAGCUUAACAACCACAAUAAAAAUAAAAUAAAAUAAAAACCUAAAAUUAAUUAAAAUUUCACCCACCCAAGAAAAAGAUAGUACAUGUGUUGUUAAAUGCUACUACUUUAAUAUUAUCCUUCACUUAAAAAUGUAUAAAAAUAACAAUUAUUUUGAAAUCACAUCAUACCAUUUCAAAAAUAAAAAUUUCCCUUACAUGUAAAGGUUUUUUUAACAAAAAUAAAACAUUUGACCCCUCUAAAAAAACAAUAUAAAUUUAAUUUUAAAAUUUUUAAAAAUAAAAAGUGAUGGUAACUAAAUAUUAUUACCACGACCGAACUAAAAUUAAAAAAUAAAAUAAAAUCUUCUUUAAUAUUUUUCAUACUUAUUUUUUCUUGUUUUUUUGAAUCUUUUUCUUGUUUAUGCUUAGUUUUUAUGAUUGGUUUAACUUACCAGAGAUAGUUAAUGUUAUCCUUAAUUUACAUAUUGAUAUUUAUCUAUUUAUUAUGUAUUAGUUUGAAUUAUAAUAAAAUAUAGAAUUUGAUUUAGAGUGAAAGUUUACUAUUAAAACCUACUCCCAAUCGUGUAGAUAUUAUCCGUUUUGGACCCAAAGGGGCCCUCUCAGCUUUAAAACGCGUCUAAUUGGUUAAGAGGAGUCUCUACAUAUAUAACAUUAGGAACUUUCUCUUAUAUCCGAUGUGGGACAUCACAAACACUUCUUAUGCAAACACAACGUUUGUAACGACCCGCUCCCAACUAUGUAGAUAUUAUUCGCUUUGAACCCAAAGGGGCUCUCACGACUUUAAAACGUGUUUACAGGGUUAAGAAAAGUUCAUGCUUAUAUAGUGCUAUGAACUUUCUCCCCUAUUCGAUGUGGGAUGUCAUAAACAUCCCCCUAUGCAGACACAACGUCCUUGUUGUGUCCUACGAGAUUGUGGGGCCAAACAAACACCCUUACGGGACUAAACAAACCCCACACCGAGGUCGGGGAUCAGCUUUGAUACCAUUUGUAAUGACCCGCUUCCAAUCGUGUAGAUAUUGUCUGCUUUGGACCCAAAGGGGCCCUCACGGCUUUAAAACUCGUCUACAGGGUUAAGAGAAGUCCAUACUUAUAUAGUGCAGGGAACUUUCUCCCUUAUCCGAUGUGGGAUGUCACAAAAUUUUUGUAAUGGCCCGCUCCUAACCGUGUAGAUAUUGUCCACUUUGGACCUAAAGGGACCUUCACGGCUUUAAAACGCGUCUAUAGGGUUAAGAGAAGUCCAUACUUAUAUAGUGCAAGAAAUUUUCUCCCAUAUCCGAUGUGAGAUGUCAUAAACACCCCCCAUGCAGACACAACGUCCUCGUUGUGUCCCACGAGAUUGUGGGGCCAAACAAACACCCUUACGGGACCAAACAAACCUCACACCAAGGUUGGGGAUUGGCUCUAAUACCAUUUGUAAUGGCCCGCUCCCAACCCUGUAGAUAUUAUCCGUUUUGGACCCAAAGAGGCCCUCACGGCUUUAAAACGCGUCUACAAGGUUAAGAGAAGUUCAUACUUAUAUAGCGCAAGAAACUUUUUCCCCUAUCCGAUGUGGGAUGUCACAAACACCCCCCAUGCAGACACAAUGUCUUCGUUGUAUCCCAUGGGAUUGUGGGGCCAAACAAACACCUUUACGGGACCAAACAAAUCCUACACCGAGGUCGAAAAUCGGCUCUGAUACCAUUUGUAAUGGUCUGCUCCUAACCGUGUAGAUAUUAUCCGCUUUGGACCCAAAGGGGCCUUCACGGCUUUAAAACGCCUCUAUAGGGUUAAGAGAAGUCCAUACUUAUAUAGCGCCAUGAACUUUUUCCCUUAUCCGAUGUGGGAUGUCACAAACACCCCCCUAUGCAGACACAACGUCUUCGUUGUGUCCCGCGGGAUUGUGGGGCCAAACAAACACCCUUAUGGGACCAAAAAAUCCCCACAUCGAGGUCUGAGAUCGGCACUGAUACCAUUUGUAACGAUCUGCACCCAACUGUGUAGAUAUUGUCCACUUUGGGUCCAAAGCAGACAAUAUCUACACGGUUGGGAACAGAUCGUUACAUUGAAUUGUAGUAGAACCCAAAUAUAUUUAUAUAUAAAUACUUAGCAUCAUUAAUGAGAAUAGUAUGUCAUAUUUUCUUUAUCUAUAUGAUAUCAAAGCCUUGAAUUCUAAACCCUAAUUCAACUUAGAGCAAAUUUAGGGUGCAAGGCUCAGGCCCUACAUGCCUCCCCCUACCCUUACCGCAAAUCGUAGUGACCUUGCUAUGCCUAUGUAUUGAAUGUAGUAUUUUGAAAUACAUUUUCAUAGCCAAGAACUCCAAUUUUUCUUAGUUCAAACCUACUAGAAGUUUCUUCUCCUUUGCUUCCACUUGGUUCCUUUAUUUAACAUAUAUUUUUUUUAUUCCCUUCAACUCUACCUUUCUCUCUUUCUUUAAAACCUUCAUCAAAGAUAUAUUUUCUUUAUUUAUAUAACUAAAUCAUAAAAAAAAAAAUACUUGUUAAGUUUUUAUUAACUAAUAUUUUUACCUGGAAGUAGGAAUAUAAUGUGAAUCGAUCAAAGUUUAACCAUUAAGUUGCAAGUGUUUAAUGAUUUAUUAUAAGUUUUAAGUGAAAGACUUUACUUUCGAAGAUAGUCCAUUAUUUGAAAAAGAAAAAAAGCUAAGAUAUUGAUUUUGUAUCUAUGAAAAUUUUGGAUACCCGAAUAUAAUGCUACCAAUAAUUGUACUAAUGCACAUAUGUCUCUCUCCCAUCAAUCGGUACUAGUUAAAGUAAUGGAAAUUCCCAUAUUUGUUUGAUGAGAAAUUCGAAAGAAAAAAUAUAUAUAAUAUAAAUAAAAUAUAAAUAAAAUAUAAAUAUAAAUUAAGAAUAAGCAUCCCCUGUAGAUAAAUAAAUCUUUUUUUUUUUUUUUAUUGGAUCCGUCGGGACUGACGGGGCUCGAACCCGCAGCUUCCAUACCCGAUUCAUAACUAGAAAGUUUCUCUGGUCCUUUACUAAUCGGAGCUAAAACUCUGGAAAAUUUUAAUGUCCACUUUUGAAAGCAUAUAGAAUUCUAAGUUUUUUGAAUGUAAGUAUAAAAAAUGAAGUAAGGUAUAAAUAAAUAAGAUUAAGUUGUAAGACAAUGAGAUCUAAAGACGUUAAACAAAAAUGAUUGAAUUCUUUAAAAUAAUUUUAAAUGUUUUUUCUUUAAAAUGACUAAAAUUAUUGAAAAUUUAUAAUUAUUUUUCUUUUAAUUUUUUUAAUUCUUUUAUUUUUUAUAUAUCUAAAAUCUAAAACUUUUUUCAAUGUUCUUAAUACCAUGUUGUUUAAUUUGAUACAUUUUUAUAAUUAAUAUUUAAAAUUAUUUAAUUUUUUUAAUAAUAAUAUAAAAUACUAUUAAUUAGCUUACAAUUUAUAAAUGAUAACUAUAACAUUUUUCUUGGAUCCCUCUUAACAAAAGUCUCUGGCUCGGCCAUUGGUUCACGAGUCUCCCAAUUUCUAUCCAACUUUUAUCUUAUUAUUUUGUAUUUUAAUUUUAUUAUUUAUAUGGGAGUUUUAUAUAUUUCUUAGUAUAUACUUAGAAUAGAUUAAUUUAGAAAGUUGGUAUGUGGCCCAGAAGAGAGGCAAUUUGGACGGCCAACGUGGCAUAAAUGCGUCAACUUGACUGACAAAUCACAUUAAACCCUUAAUGCCCAUGCCUUCCCAACUGCCUCCUGCUCUGAUUGAUAUUGAGUGGAAGUAAAUGCUCUAUUAAUAUCCCCUUCUAUGAUUUUGACUUUCAUUCAUUACACCCCACAUUUCUCAAUCCAACAAAUGUCGACAUGACAGAAGUAGAGAAAAUUAAAAUCUUCAUCUAAACAUCAUGUACGGGGAAUAAAUUCCCUAAUUAAAAUUUCUUGACCCCAAUUAUUCACGGAUUUUUUAAAUAAAAAUGUUAUUUUAAAAAAUAUUAUUAAAAUAUAGUUGCAAAAAUAUGAUGCUUUUUAACAUAUUUUUUUAUUUAUAUCCUAAAUUUAUCUUUUCAAAAUAUCAAUUCACUUUUUAAAAAAUGAUUUUAUUUUUUGUACUGUAAGGAUCAGUCAUAUUUUUACCUUAGAACAUUUUAUAUUGAAUUGGACUUUUCAAAAAAUGAAAAGACGAGUUCUACUUGUAAUUAAAAAGUGUUGCAAAUUUAAAAUCAUUUUUUAUAUUACGGUUAUUUAAAAAAUGCACUACUCUUGUAGAAAUCUCAAUUAUUCACCUCAUCAAACAAUUUUGAAAAAAAAAUGUCAUGUUUAAAUCUAGUUUUUAUUUUUAAGAUCAGGCAAGAACCUAAUGUUUUAAAAGCCUAACUAAUUAAAAAAACAAACCAUAUAUUAUAAAUGGAGUUUUUUGAAUUAGUUUUUAAAAAGAUGUGGUGAAUAAGUAACCUUAGAAUCCAUUUUUGGUAGUGAUUUUAGAAUACUUUUUUAACACAAAAAGUGUUUUUGAAAACAAAUUAGAUGGUUUAAAAUUUUGUAAAAUCACUUAUAUCAUUAAAAAAAUCAUUUAUAACAUUUUCUAGAAAAACAAUUGAUAAAUGAUUUUUCUAAAAACAUUUCUAGGUAGAAACAUUGCGAAAUACAGUAUUAAUUUAUUACUUUUUUUUAAAUCUUUAUAAAAUGAAUGAAGAAACUUUUCAAGCAAACAAAUUAAUACAAAUAUUAUUAAUAUAAAAUAAGUUGGAAAAAAAAGGGAAAAAUCGAUGCAUCAAAUUUCGUUUGAUUUGUAAUCUUUUCGUCCAAUGAGCAAUCAUCUUUCAUUUCUCAUUUAUAUAUAAAUAUAUAUAUUUUUAAAUUUUUUCAAAACAAAUGAAUUCCAAUGGGAAACUUAUGCAUUAGAUUCUUUAAUGAGCUUAUUAACUUUUAGAAAUGAUUUGAAAUCUAGAGCAGUGUAAAAUCCUAUAAAUAAUUGAGGAGUAUAUGCAUGUGUGACAAAAAAGUUAAUUUAUUUACAUAAAUUAGCGUUCUCCCUCUUUCUCCUUUUGUUUGAGAUUCAACGAAGUCAACAAGUACAUAUGUUGACUAAUCAGCUUUGGUCAUGAUCAAUACACGAAAUAACCUCGCAAUUUCCUUGUAUUUAUGUUUCUGUGAAGUCCAAAUUCAUUUAUUACUCAAAGCAUUAAUUUCAGAAAAUAAUAAAUAAUAUUUGUUUUUUAAGAAUUUUUCUAUUCCAUUGAAAAGCCGAUUUUUCAAUAUAAUAUAAAAAUAUGGUAAUGCAAGAAAUAUUGUUUGAUCCUAUUUCUUUGAACCUGUGUUGUUUUUAUUUUUCAUAUCAAAAACUCAAAUCUUAAGUUAGACAUUGUAUUGAAGGGGCAACAUAAAAUCUUUAUUAUUCACCUCAACUAAGUGUUAUUUUUUAUUUUUUAUUUUUUAUUCUUUUAUUUCCCAAUUUGCAGAUCUAAGAGGUUGGAUUUGAAACUAUUGGGUAAGACAUAAUCUUGGUUUUGUUAAAAAAAAUAAAAAUAAAUAAAGAAUAAGAAAUAAAGAUUAAAAAAACGCAUGAGAAUCCAAUUGAGAAAGUAAGAAUUUUCAUUUUCUAAAGCCCGCAUGCAAUUUGGGGUGCUUGAAUGAACUUGAUAUUGAAUUUCAUUUCCAACAAAGGAAUUUAGGUUCAUUUGGAAAAAAAAAAAAUCAUAAAGAAUAUGAAAAAUAAAACAAAUUAUUAUGGGGAUAAAUUAUUGUCAUAAAAAAAAUAAAGAAUUGAGGUAAGAAAUUCAGAGAAAGUGAACUCAUGAAAGUAUAAAUUUCCAAUAACCUUUAUUUAAGGUUAUAAUCGUAAUGAGUACAAUAAAUUAUUCUCUAGAUUUAUUACAACGGAUAAAUUGGUAUUAAAAAACAAUAGGGAUACUAUAGAAAACAUAGAUCUUGAGAAUAAAACUACAUACUUUGAUUCAGAUGUUCCUGGAUCGAUUUCGGUUGAUAUAGAUAACUCCAAAGUAGUAAUGAAUCUCAUAAACACCAUGAUCUUCAGUCCGAUGACUCUUCCUUGUGUUGAUGAUGGAGAUCUCAAGGGUGGAGGUUAGGGUUCUCUCUUUAGAUUGAAGGGGAGAAAGACAAGACAUAAAAACCUUUACCCCUAAAGGGGUAUUUGUAGGUUUCUUACUAGGCUUAAGUGCCUUAAGCCCACCAUGGACUUGGGUUACUUAAUCUAGCCUAAAAAAGGUUGCUAAUUGAUUAAUUAACCAUACAAUACCCUAAUCAAUCAAUUAACCCAGUCCAAAGAUACUACUCACUUAUCCUUGUGCAAUCUUAUGUAAUUACCAAAAUACCCUUAUACAUAAAGUGAACUAAAAACACAUUCAAUCCUUAUAAACCGCGUCAUCAAGGAAUAUGAGCUUAGAAAGGGGGCCAUUGAGACCCAUAGGAGUACUAGCUCCCUUACAAUUAAAUUUUGAAAUUGACUCAAUAUCCUACUAUAGAGAGUCAACUACACUCCAGUACCCUAUCUAUAUUACAACGAGACACCAAGUACUCUAGUUCAUGACUUACUAUCCAUUACAUACAGGCUCCCUAUGAACUAGUCCAUAAUCUAACAAGGUAGUGUUAUCACUUAUUAAGAUUACCUAUCAAAUCUUUUAGUUAUAGAUCUCACUUAUUCUAUGAUCAAAUGAUAUACUCUAACUUUAAGGAGCAUAUGUCAAAUUCCAUUAAAGGAAUUAUUAUGUCCACAAAUUUCAAGAUCAUUGGCAUUUGGAUCACCCAAUGGGAUACACUAUUUCAAUCCCAUGAGAAAUCAUGGUGCCUCUAUUGAGAAUACCUGUUGCCACUAGCCUCCAUCAAGAGUGAUCCAAUCCAUAGGGAUAUAUAACCACUUUAGGGUUUUACCUAUAGGUCAAAGCCUCUUGUUGAUUUUGGCAUAGACUCAAUAUCCUCUCAAGGUUGAAAGUUCAUGUAAUACAAUAGCUUGGUGAAUUAAGACAAUUGGUAGUCUUACCAUGAUUCACCCUAAGUUUUGUUCAGUGUGCAUUAGAUACACUAGUGCACUCACCAUGGGAAACUCAUCUCGACAGUUAAGACAAGUCAUCCCUCAAAUUAGGAGGUAGUGCACUACGAUCUCUACUAGAUUACCCAAAUCCAUGAACCAAUUGUGGACAACUUAUCUACUUACAAAGAACCCAUGACUUGUAUAUUCUGUGCAACUCCUAAUGCACCUAAGUCAUGUAUAAUGUAAGAGACAUAAACUGAAUACUCAAAUCAAUGUCAAUACACCAAAAGGAUAGCAAGAUGAUAGCUAAGUUUAACUUUGUUACACUAUAUCUUGGUUUCAAGGGCUCAAUCCCAACAAACUCCCACUAGUCCUAAAAACAAACUAGGCAACGUAGAAAAAAUUAUGCUUCAUAGUCUCAUCACCUCUCAAUACUAUAUCACAAUAAGGUAACACUUUUUCUUUAUGUGUUUUCUCUUUUAAUGGUACUUUAGUUCUUUAGACCAUGCCACUGUCCCAUUGUUAUCACAUAUCAGGAUCCUAGACAAUAUAGCUAAGGGAACUAGCCAUAAGCCAAAAGGCUUCCUUUGUUGCUAUAGAAAUAACAAAAAACCAUUUAAAGUAUACACAUACUUAGAGGUAGACAUACGAGAGUUCCUAUCAAAUUGAAGUUCAAUUUCUCGGUAAGAAAGGAGUACCAACUCAUCGCAAAGACUCACAAACAUAUAAGCCUUUAUUCUUUAAAGAUACUAGAGUAUAUGUUUGACAUCUGCCCAAAUCUCUAAUAAGGAAAUUGACCAAUAUCCACUCAUUAUUCCUAUAACAAAACAAAUAUCUGGUCUAACACAUAGUAUUGCAUACUUAAGGCUACCCAUUACAAAGGCAUUGAAUAUCGCCUUAAUGCUAUCUUUCUCCAUAGAUAUCCAAGGACAUUGAUCCUAAGAAAGACAACUCCAAAUCUAAAGAGUAAUAAACAUUCCUAGAGUUUUGCUUCAUGUACUUGACCAAACGCUUAUCUAUGUAGGUGACAUGACACAUUUUUCCUACUCUUGCAGUCUUAAAAGACCUUAGCCCCAAGGAUAUAUUGCGUCUUCCUCUAAAUUUUCAUCUAGAACUGAGUAAACUACUAGAUCUUAAUUGAUGACAAUAUUUCUAUAUCAUAUCCAAUGAGUAUAUUGUUAUCUACCUACAAGAUCUUAGAGUAUCACCACUCUUCCUUGUACCUUCUUAUACACACAAGACCCUUUGUUAUGAAAAUGUUUAGUUGUUGUAUCUUACAAACGAGACACACUGCAAUAGAUAUGAGUAAUCUAAUGGAUUUGAGUAUGACCACUGUUAAAAAGGUUUCCCAUAGUUGAAAGAAAGUUUCAAACUAUAACCUUUUGCUAUAGUCUUAACCACAUAAAACUCAAGCUUUCCAUCUACUUCUGUGUUCCUCUUGUAGACCAACUUACACCUAUAGGUUUUAUCCUCUUUAAGUGCUUCUAUAGAAAUCCAACCUAUGUUAGAACUACCUCUUCAUAACUCCUUACCUUAAGUGAGGACAAACACUGUUCACCACUUCAUCAUAAUCUAUAAGAUAUGAACCUCCCACUAUGAUGAGGCACUAGUGUAUUAGAAAUAAUGGGAAUGGUAUGUUUUGAAACCUCUGGAUCCAUAGUAUCCUAUGCAAUGUGGGAUUAUCUUAUAAUAUAUCCUCCAAUAUGUAUCACUUUUUGCCUUUUUCCUUAUCAUAUAGUCUUCAUAAAAAAUAUGACAUUUGUGUCAAGAAAUAUCUUUUGGUGAUCUCGACUAUAAAGGUAAUAACCCAAAAAUCCUCCUAAAUAUCCUAUAAACUAAUAUACCUCUUAAGAAAAAGAGGUAUUACACAGUGUAUAAGACAUAUCCCUAAAAGAAUUCGGAAAAAUAUGAAAAACCUAUCCACGAUCUCACUAGGACCAACCAAGUUUGAUAUCUUCUAUCCACUUCUCCAUUUUGUAAUAGAGACCCUGGUGCACAUGCCUAGGAAAUAAUCUCGUGCUCCAAUGAAAAGAAUUAAACUUAUUAGACAUAUCACCUUGAUCUAAUCGAAGUGACUUGGUAUUUAUAUCCAAUAGGUUAUCUGAUCCUACCUUAAAUUCAAUGAAUAUAUCUAAGGCAUCGAAUUUCCUAUGUAAAUAUCCAAACCUAGAGUAAUCAUCACUAAAAGUGAUAAAAUACCCAUACCCUUCCCAUGCAUGGACACUAAAAGUUCCAUACAUGCUAGUAUGCACUAACUCCAAACAUUCCUUGGCUCUAGUCCACUUGGUCAUUUUUCCAUCUAUAUAGGAUUCAUAGACUGAAAGAUCUUCUAGAAUCAAAGAGUCCAGACUUUACUAGUCUUUGGAUCUUAUUUAGAUUAAUAUGACCUAGGUUUAGAAACCAAAUGUUUAAUUAGUGCUAGGUUUAAUAAUGAGAUUUAACUAUUCUCAUCACUUGACAAAGUAAUAAUGGAAUACAUAUAAAAGACGAGAAUAUUACCUUUCACUAGUCUGCAUAGCUAACCUUGCAUUUGAAGCUAAGUUAAAUAUAAUCCAUCAUUUAACCUUCUCACUUGUUGAAUAUUCUAUAAGGACUUAUAAACAAUGGGCCUGGAAUCUAUCUACCAUAAAUGGUGAAAUCUACCACUAAAUAUUCAAUAACGAGAAAAUGAUGUAUGCUUUCCUUGUUCCUUAAUGUAAAUUGGGCAUUCCUUUUCUAGAGUCCUAAAAUGUCAUAAAGGAAUCACUUUCCUUUGAGCUUGCUCUCUUAUUCUUUCUCUCUAACUUUCCUUAUUUGGUGUUAUUCUUCAUUUUCUUGAGAGAAGAACCUAAAGAACCUUUGACUUUCAUAUGUACACUCUAUAAUUUUUAAUAAUCCCUUUAGCCAUCCCGAAGGAAAAUGACAAGGUCUCUAAGAUCAUAUAUAUGAAUACUAGUGUUCAUAACAGUCCUAAAAGUAGCUUGUCAAUGUUGUCCUACCAUUAUCAUCAUUCCAAACUAGAAAGUGUAUAUGAAAGUCUUUAGUAAUAGAGAUAUGUUGCUAUUGCAACACAUUAUCCAAAGAUCCAAGUGUUACACACUUGGUCUUCUAAUACAACCUUGAGAUACCACUCUUUCCUUUUGCUAGGUUAGUUCAUAAGGAAUAGUUAGCUCUACCUAAACUAGCUUCUAUGUAAUUACUUGUUAUAUCCAUAAUGAAAUUAGUCUAAUUAAUUAGUUGGGCUUGGCUUAUUGUGAGAAAGAGAGUGAUAAUAUAACCAACAUGAUAUCUGUAAAAAAGAAUAUAAUCAAGCAUAUGACAUAAUUUAGCAUUUAUGGGAAUUGGUAAUAAAUUUAGCAAAAAUGUAGUGUUCUCAAACUACAUGUCAUUUUGUAUAUUAGUAUCAUAAAAAUCAAGUCUACCUUAUUAAUAGUUAAAGACCUUCUUAGAUUGAUCUCAUUGCCUUAAGUAUAAAGGUAUCUAAAGGCAUGAUCAACAUACUUUUUAUUUGGCCUAUGGACUAUGCAAGUAGGACCGUGUGAAGCUAUUCUACCACUUCAUAUCCAAUGUCAAGUUGUGGACCCACAUUUUCCAUGUGCGUUCCCACUCAAACGGCUAGACUUGUUUUUUUUUUAUUUAUUAUUAUUAUUAUGAAAAAUUGAUUUUUUGAAAAAGACUUGGAGUUGUAACUUAUUUUUGUUUUAUUUUUUAAAAGGGGAAACAAAAUAAGAAAAAAAAAAGUCCUAUGUGAAUCUUUAUUUGGAAAAGACGUGUAUGCAAAAACUGAGUUUGAAUUUGGGAAUCAAGUUACCUAUCAGGAAGGUACGGUAGUGUGUCAUAGCACCCCUCUAAGAUUGUAUACAUACGACCUCUACUAAAUGAAUGAAGGGAAUUGUGACAAUUAAUUAAUUGAUCAUGGAUACCGAGAAAAAGAACCACAAAUAAAUAUAUACAAAUCAUUGCGAAAAUCAAUAUAUACAAAAAUAAUGAUGAAAUCAAAAUACAAGUAUAUACAAAAUAAAUGACAAAGAGAUUAUGCAAAUCGAUUUAUUGAACUAAUUAAAAAAAUAUAUUCAAAAAAAUUAUUUUUUAAAGACAUUUCAAAGGAUUUUAUUAAAAAAAAAAGAAACAAUUUUGAAUUAAUGAUUUCAAUUUAAUUAUUUACAAAAAAAAAGUGUCAAUUUAUUUUCAAUAAAUGCUUUGAUUCAACUUUAUUUGUUUUCAAUUUUUAAAAAGAGUUAUUUACCCUUAUUGUAUCAAAAGAACUUAUUACAAAAUUUCAAUUUGGUAACAAAUUUUUACUUGUUUUUACUAGAAAUGAAUGAAUUUUUACAACUAUAUUUACAAAAGUAUCUUAGUUUGAUUUUUCAUUUAAGAAAAGUGAUUUAUACAAAUUAUUUAUAAUAAAUAAAUAACUUUAUUUGCAAAAGAUUUUUUUUUUUUAAAAAAAAGAAAAGACUUUUAUAGGUUUAUUUACAAAAAUGUUAAAAUUCAAUCCAAUUUUAAUCGAAAAGUGAAUUUUCACAAAAUUAUUUACAAAAGUGUCUUAACCCCUUUUUUAUUUAUAAAAAAUAAUUUAUUAUUUGGUUUCAUUAAAAAAAAUUUAUUGAAAAAGAGAUUUUAUCUUUAUUUGAUUUAAAGGUAAGUUAUUCAAUUUUAUUAGAACUUAAAAAAAUAAAAUAAAAUAAAAUAAGUCUUAAAGAUUUGAACUUUACAAAUAAAUAAAUAAAUACCAAAGUUAAAGAAAAUCAUUUUUUCAUAUUUUAUUCACAAAAGCAUUCCAAUUUGAUUUUUGUUUUCUUUUAAAAGGAUUUUUUUUAAGAAAAAAAGGAAAUUUACAUUUUCACAAUUUUAUUUGAAAAGAAUUUAAUUUAUUUUUAUCAUUAAAAAUAAACAAGUAAAAAUAAGUAAAUAAAUAAAUAAAUAUGCUUAUAAAUUGCUUAGAAGAUUCAUGAAGAUUUUUUUUUUUUUUAAAUAAUUUUGUCUAAAAAAAAUUACAAUUUUAUUUGCUUAAAUAAAAAUAAAAUUAAAAGCUAAAAAGAAGAUUUUUUUUUGAAUUUUAUUUCAAAAAUAGAUUUAUCUUAAAAAUAACAUAAAAUUAUGAGUUUGUCUAAAAGAUUGAAUUUUUACAAACCUUUACUAAAGACAAAUUUUUACAAUUUUAUUUAAAAGGAAAUUUUCCUUUAAAAAAAAAAUGAAGAAAAAUCUGCACAAGUUUUAUUAAAAAAAAAAAAAUUGUUCAUAAAGAAAAUAUUAUUCCAAUCUUAAUUUUAUUUAAGGGAGAUCUUUACAAAUUAUUUGGAAAAAGUACAUUUACAAAAUUAUGUACAAAGUAGGUAUUUAUUUAGGGAUGAUUAUUUACUUGACUUUUAUUGAAAAGGAAUAAAAUAAUAAUAAUAAUAAUAAUAAUAAUAUCUAAAAAAGGAUUUUACCUAACUUUAAAAAGAUAUUUUUUAAAAACUUUAUUUAAAGAGAUAACUUUGCCUAAGAUAAUAACAAUAAUAAUAAUAGAAUAAAAUUAUGACUUUAAGGGUUGAAUUUUUUAUUUACUUUUAAUAAAGAUAGAUUUUUGUAAUUUUAUUUAGUGAUAACAAUAAAUCAGGCUCCACCAACUUCUACCCAUGCCAAUACCUUGCUUCAACCACCCCAACUACUCAUAUUUUGCUCUUCCCACUCUCAACACAAUGACAAAAGACAACCUAAUCGUAAGAAAACCCAAUAUGAAUGAACUUCAAUAACCCAAAUCAAUAAUGCAUAAAGCCAAAUACAAAACAAUAACCCGAACAACAAAGCCUAAAUAGAACAAAUACAUCAAACACAAGUCCAAUUAAAUGAAAUUCGAGCCUAAAUUCGUAAAUGAAUAUUGUAGAAAUUAAAUAACAUAACAUAAAAUAAAAGUAAAAAAUAAAAGAAACAAAAUAAAAUUAAAUUAAAACUUACCUAUCUCCCAAAGCCGUGUAUAGAGAUGUAGCAACAAUGGGAGAUCGGUAGCCAUGGGGAGCGAAAAAUGAGAUAGAGGCACGCCUAUGGCGAGACAUAAAGGACAAUAAAAGAAAAAAAAAGGAAGAGAAGGAAUAAUAUAAAAAAUAAAUAAAAGAUAAGAAAAAGAGAUAUGCGGGAUGAAGUGGCCGGAGAAAGGUCAACGAUUGUGGGGUUGUCGGUGAUUAGUUGCCAUCGGCGAUGACCGUGGGCCAAUGCUCCCGCCAUUGGAGAUGCUGUGGACGAGAAAUAAGAAAGGACAGAGAAUAAAAAUAAAGAGAAAAGAAAGAGGAAAGAAAAAGAAUGGGAAAAAAAUAAUAAUCAAGGAUCAGUGAGUGGAGAAGAGAAUAUGGGAGAAAGGAAGAAGAUAAAAGAAAGUGGGAGAAAGGAAAGGGAAAGGUGAGGUGGCAGGUAUGGAGAGGAGAGAGAGAAGUUAAGGAUUUAGGGUUUUUUUUUUUAAAGAAAAAAAAAAAGAAAAUGGAUGGUAGGGAUGGGGUCUAGAGAUGAACGACCAGUAUUGGUUCUCUAAAGUAAGAAAUGGGCUUGGAACUUUGGCCCAAAAUGCAAAACAAAAAGGCCCACCAAAUUUAGGGGUCUACACAAGUGUAUAACCAUUAUCCUCGAACUAUCAUUGUCACCAAAUAAAGAACCCCACCAUGGGGGUGGUCACUCUCACUAUAGAUAUAUCUAGUUUUCUAUACACAAUUCCAAUUAAUAAAUAUUUUAUUUAGGAAAUGUUUCAAAGAAAUUUAUUUCCAUCAAAUUACUAAAUCUUUUGGUAGUAAUAUUUUAAUGAUAAAUUAUUUCUAAUGAAAAUUUUCAAAACAUUUAUUUUCCAAAAUGGAGACACUUGUAUAAUAAGGAAAUUGCCAAUUUAUGAGAUUUUGAAUAAUCUUGAGAGCACCUUAUCUAGGAAAGGAAUUUUUGCUUCUUAUAUUUAAAAAUCCUCAUAAGAUUAACUUUUCUUAUUCCUUACACUUUUCUAAUUUAAUAAAUAUUUCCAUGGAAAUUUCAUAAUAAUUUAUUCCAUUAAAUACUACCAAAAAUAGAACCUUUUAAUAAUUCCUUAAUAGAUAAAAUAUUCUCUAUGAAAAACUACCAAAAAUGUUUAUUUCCAAAAAUGAAUUAAGCAAUCCUUUUUCAAAAGUAUUUUCAAAAUAUUUUAUAUCUCCAUUAAAUUACUAAAACUUUCCAAAGUUAUUUUGGUAACCCUUCUUAUUAUAAAUUCUCGAUCAUAAGAUUUUUCAAAUCUAUUAUUUACUUUUAAACUGAGACUCCUGUGUUAAAAGAAUUGUUCUCUUAUUUUUUAUCAUUAAACUAUCCAAACGAAAUGGUUUUCUUCUUCUCUCUAGUGGGGAGAGCUUGGAUGACCAACCAUAGGUAUAUUUUUCCUUCUUUCACCGAGAAAUAACAAAAAAACCACCUAAAGUUUAAUAAACAGAUAAUCAUAAAGAAAUAACAAUCUUCUUAGCAACAACCAGCUUAAAUAGAUAAUCUUAAAAAAAUAUCUUCUCAUGAAAAUUUAAGAAGAAUACCAAAAAACUUUUCUUUGUGUUCUAAUACUUAUUUUGGUAACCAUUCUUAAUUAUAGAUUAUCCAUUAUGAAUUUUCAAAUUAACUUAUUUUUUUAAAAUUGGAAAUAGGAAAAAUACUAUUUUAUAAAGAUAUGAAAAAAUAAGAGUUUUUCCUUAAAAAAAAAAAAAAAUUAUUCUUAGAGAUCUCAAAGAUUUGAGAAUAUUUUAAAAAGGUAAGAAAGCUCUCAAUCGUUUUUCCAACUUAUCUUUUCUUUAAAAUAAAAAUUCCUAACCAUGCACAAUCCAAUUUAAAUAAGUUUUCCAAUUUUUUUUUUUAAAAACAUAAAAAUUUAUUUCCAAUUAAGAAUACCAAAAUAUCUUGAGGCCACAUAUGCAAUUAAUCAAAAGCAUAUAAUAAAAACAAGGGAAUAAAAAAAAUAAAAACUUUUCUCAUAGCCUUUAGGGAUCUUGUUGCAUAUUUGAUAAUUAAAAUUUGGAUAAAAUCCAAAUUACCAAAAAUAGUCCUACAACCAAAAAUAAGGUUACUGAAAAUAGAAAACCCAAAAGGCCCAAUUGCCACCAAAAUGAGCCCAAAAGGAGAGGAAUCAAAUUUAGUCUGAAAAACCAAAAAGAAUUGGACUCGUAUGCAAUCCUGUAACAACAUGCUCUUUGUGCAACAUUGCUUCAAUGGACUAUAUCUCCCUUGUUUCAACUCCAAAUUGCAAUUUGCUUGAACCAUUGGAUUCGUGACCUCCUAAGAUUCAAAUUCAUAUGUGGCCUGCCCCAAGAAACUACUAGGAGAUAGUUGUGAUUUUGAGUUUAAGUUAACGUCAUUGUGUUGCCAUGGAUCUCAAACCAAGAACUUCCAAGAAAGCUUCUUUUUUCUUUAGCUACCAUAGAAUCUCAAAAGGAACUUUCAAGAUUCCUUCUUUUCUCUUGGGUCACAUAAUCAGGAAUGGAUAUAAAAAAGGCUACUAGGCUCCUUUCUUUCUUAUCACAUCCAACCCUUAUCGAUAGCCCCCACUAGGACAUUCAAGUAAGUCGGGUUUUGAUCUGAUUCCAAAAUGAGGCAGUGUUACCAAUGACUCGAUACCCCGCUGCUACUGAAUGAAGUUCGUCCUUCUCUCAUUUCCCUAUAAUAAGAUGUUGACCUCCGUAGAUAAAUGCCCCAUAUAACCUCUCAUCUCCGGGGUUGGGUUGAAAGAACAAUCAAACUGGGUUAAGAGAAGUUUAUGAAUCGAGUGAAAAUGAAAAAUAAAAAUCGUAAAUAAAAAUGGGCCAAGUGUGUGAUGCAAAAACUGAAAAUUUUACAACAAUUAAAAAAAAUAAAAAAUCCUAUGCUCUUUUAAUGGAGUUUGCAACCCAUCUAUUGAAAAGAAAAGAUUUUUACAAUAAAAUAAAAAUCUUAUACCCCUUAUGGGGUGUACAACCCAAUCUAGAGAAUCAAAAGGCAUAAAUCAUAUCCAUUUAUAUUCCUUCAAAUGAAUAAAUAAUAAUCCAUCACAAUUAUAAUCAUAAUCAUCGUAUUGACAUUCAUUCAAUUGAACAAAUAAAUGUAUCCCAUUCAUUCAUCUAUUUAGACCAUGGGAUGAAUAAAACAACCCUGUAAAAUAUAGUGAACACACCUUAGAACAGAUCUAACAUGCUAAAACCUACCCUAGGGUUCUGAUACUAGUUGUUGGGAACCUCAAAUUACUCUAUUCCCAUGCCCUAGAUCACGUAGGGUGCGUGCAAAUAUAUCAUAGGCUCUUUAAAUCUAUCACAACAAAUAAAUUGGUAUUAAAAAACAAUAAGGAUACCAUAGAAAAACAUAAAUAUAGAGAAUAAAGCCACAUACCCUUGAUUUGGUUGUUCUCGGAUCAAUUCUAAUCGAUGUAGAUAGCUCCAAAGUCAUAAUGUAUCUUGUAAACAUUAUGAUCUUCUACCCGACAACUCUUCCUUGUGUCUAGGCAUUAAGAUGGUGGAGAUAUCAAGGGUAGAGUCUAGGGUUCUCUUUCUAAACUAAAGGGGAGAAUGACAAGACAUAAAAACCAUAACUCCUAAAGGGGUAUUUAUAGGCUUCCUACUAGGCUUAAGUGACUUAAGCCCACCAUGGGCUUGGGUCACUUAAUCUAGCCCAAAAAAUGUUGCUAAUUGAUUAAUUAACCAUACAAGACCCUAAUUUAUUAAUUAGCUUAGUCCAAAGAUACCACUCACUUAUCCCUAUGCAACCUUGUGUAAUAAAUAAAAUGCUCUUAUGCAUAAAAGUGAACAAAAACUCAUCUAACCUUCAUAAACUGUGCCAUCAAGGAAUAUGAGCUCAGAGUGGGGAUUAUUAGAACCCAUGUGAGUAUUAGCUCCUUCAAAAUCAAAUUCUGAAAUUGAUUCAAUAUCCCACUAUAGAAAGUUAAUUGCACUCUAGUACCCUAUGUAUAUUACAACGAGACACCAAGUGCUCAGGUUCGUGAUCUACUAUCUACUGUAUGCAGACUCCCCAUGAACUAGCGUCUGUAAUCUAACAAGAUAGUAUUAUUACCUCUCAAAUUCUUGAGUUAUAGAUUCCACUUAUUAUGUGAUCAAAUAACAUACUCUAAUUCCAAGGAGCACAUGUCAAAUCCUACUAAAGGAAUUACUGUGGUCACAGAUUUCAUGAUCACAUGUCCUUUGAAUCACCCAAUGAGACACAUUGCCUCAAUCUCAUAAGAUAUCGUGGUGCUUUUAUUGAGAAUACUUGUUGCCACUAGCCUUCAUCAAUAGUUACCCAAUCCAUAGAGAUAUAUGACCACUUUAGGGCCUCACCUAUAGAUCAAAACCCCUUGUUGAUUUUAGAAUAGGCUCAAAAUCCUCUCAAGGUUGAGAGUCCAUGUAGCAUAGUAGCUUGAUGAAUCAUGACAAUUGAUAGCCUUGCAUCAUGAUUCACCAUAUGUUUUAUCCAAUGUGCAUAUACUCACCAUGAGAAACACAUAUUGACGGCCAAGACAAGUUAUCCCUCUAAUUAGGAGGUGGCGUACUACAGUCUCUACGAGAUUGUCCAAAUCUAUGAACCAAUUAUAGACAACUUAUCUACUUAGAAGGAACCCAUGAAUUUUAUUUUCCGUGCAACUCCAAAUGUACUCAAGUCAUGUACAAUGUAAGAUUUAUGGAUUGAAUGCUCAAAUCAAUGUCAAUAUAACAUGAAUUGUUACAACAUGUCUUGUUUUUAGGGGUUCAAUCCUAACAAGUAUUACUUUCAUACACUCUUUCUCCUUAAGUAUCUUAAGACAUUGAUCUUGAGAAAAAAGAACUCUAUGUCUAAAGGGUAGAAAACCCUUUUUGGAAUCUUGCAUAGCAUAUGACUCAAGUGGGUUGAGAUAGUGUAAACUUCCUAUUCUUACAAUCUCUUAAGACCUUAAUCCAAGGAAUAAACUAUGUUUCUUUAGAUUUUUCAUCUGAAACUGAGUAGAAAACUAUAUCUUGGUUGAUGAUAAUAACCUUAUAUCAUUCCAAAUGAGUAAAAUAUCAUCAAAAUAUAGGAUCAUAAAGACCAUCAUGCUUCUUUACACAUUCCUAUACACACAACGUUCAUUUUUCAUUUUGAUGAAAGUCAAACGUUUUGAUGAAAGUCAAAAGUUUUGACCGCCUAAUCAAAAUGCUUAUACAGUGAGCAAGAUACUUGCUUUAAUCCAUAAAUGGAUUUCUGCAACUUGCACACCAAACACUUUUGGUAUUUUACUAUGAAACCAUAUAGUUGCAUCAUCUAAAUGGUCUUACUAAGAUAGUCAUUUAAGAAUGCUUUCUUGACAUCUAAUUUGUUUGUCUCAUAAUUGAGAUGUGUUGUAAUGAAUAGGAGUAUUCUUAUGGAUUUGAGAAUGGUGGCUAGUAAAAAAGUCUCUUUAUAGUCAAAACCAAAUUUUUUACUAUAAUUAAGUCUAACCUUUCCAUCUACUCCUUUCUUCCUCAAAUAGACCCACUUGCACCCUAUGGCUUUUAUGCCUUUAGGUGCUUCUACAAGCUUCCAAACUAUGUUAGAAUGCAUGGAUUCUAAUUUUGUAUCCAUAGCUCUUAGCCAAAAAGAUGCAUCAACAUCGCUCAUUGCUUCAUCAUAAUCUAUGAGAUAAAUCUCAUAUUCUUAUGAAAUUAUCUCAAAAGACUUAUCCUAAUACAUUAAUCGGUCAAGUUAUACAAAACCCCUACUAUGACGAGGCAUUAGUAUACUAAAAAUGUUAGAAGUGGUCGGUACUAUAUCCAUAGUAUUUUGUGCUAUUGUGGGAGUGUCAUCUAAUACUCUUCAAUCAAUAUUACUCCUAAACUUAUUACUUAUCAUAUAUUCUUCUUUAAGAAAUCUAGCAUUUGUACUCACAAAUACUUUUUAAUCAAUUUGAGUAUAAAAGUAAUGGCCUGUCUACCCAAUUCUUCCCUGGAGGAGAUUCGCAAUAACACCAUGGAAUUGACCAAGGAUUUGGUCCAUUCAAAUCUCUCUUCAACUUGCUCAACCAUGUAAGGCUCUAAGUUUUCUUGGGAAACUUCUACCAGAAGAUUUUUUCCAAUCAAUUAAGACAUUUGUAGUGGUGUUUGGAAUUUGAAAAUAGAUGCAUCAUAGAGAGUGAAGAUAGUGAGAACUGAUUUUGUUUAUCUUGGAUCAACACACUUUAAUGUCCUAUUGUUUGCCUUCUAUAAGGAUCCUAUCUAUGAGACUGUUGAACAAGGACUUGCUUUAGUCCUCCAUGGUUAGGAAGAUCUAAAUAUUUAUCAUGUUAGGAGAAUUCAAUGCUAAAACUUUUCCAAAUGAUGGCUCCAUUUUUUUUGGGGUUCUAAAAUCAAGAAGAAAAAAAAUAAUUAUUGAUUUAUUUCACUUUUUGAUAUAUAAAGAGUGGACAUGCUCAUCAUUUUUAUCAAUGACAAUCUUUAAAUAGGCCGCCUGGAGAUCAUUGUGGUAGAUUCAGUAGGUAAUAUUGUCGUGUUAAUCUGUCAAUUUAUGUAUAGCUAUCAUUGCCUCUUAAGGCGUUGAUGUCAUUUAGCUGCAAAGCUUGAAACCUUGUUUAGCCAUAGAAUUUCCCAUCAUAACUAUGACCUAACGUGGAAUUUAUAUUUUAUGCAAUUUUUUUCUUAUUCAAAGAUGUUUAAUAAAUUAUUCUUAUUACCUAUUAAAAUAAGGGGAAAUUAUGUUUUGGGAGGCCCAUUUGAAGGUAAUAUGCAAAUCAAACCCAAAGAAACUGGAAUAUAGGCUUUGUCCGUUAAUGACCAAAUUAUUAUUCUUUUUGUGCACUAUAUAUUGUUUCGGUGAGCUAUUCCAAAAUUGCCCUUUAGUUUUCCCUGUCAGCAACCACCGCGGUCUCCAUGUCAACAGCCACCGCACAAUUUAAUAAACAUUGAAAUGUCAACCGAUCUCCAUGUCAGCAGGCUGGUGUGCAAUUUUAGAAACAUUAAAAUGUGAAUAAUGAAGUUAUGAAGUCUGAAACCCACAAAGCACCCCGACCCAACAAACAUUUGAAACUUGAAGUUAUCUUUGUCACUUUCUAUCGUUUUGCCCUAACCAGAUCUUAGAAAAUUUCCAUUUUCAUAGCUCUUUUGAUACAUCCGAUUUGUUUAUUGAGAUCUUGAGCAGGCGAUCAAUACCCAUAUUUUGAAAGCCGGCUUCAUUUGAUUCUGCCCUAACCCUAGUGUGUCUCUUUACUAGUUGACGACCCAAACCCGAUAGGUUUUUUCCGAAAACCUUCAAGGAAGCCAAAAUCGAGGCAGAUCUUCGUAUUUCUUCAUCAAAUGUUGAUUUUUUAAAGGUUUAUGGAAACCGAAGUGGAGUUUCCUCAAUCAAUAACAGGUGAGUUUUCCAUUUAAGCAUUCGUUUGGGUGUUGAGAACAUAUUAGGGUUGAAGGUGUUAACAUGAGCAUCAGAAAAGAAACUAGUUUAAUAAUAGAUUGAGCAUCAGAAAAAAGGCCGGCUUUGGUACUUUGUUUUAGCUGUGAUUUUUUUUUUUUACUUUUUGAUGGGUAUUGUGAGGUUUUCUAUGUCAAUUGUUGGUUGGUUUAAGCAUUUGGGUCUUUUAGAUUUUGAGCAUUAACUUUUGGGUUGUCCACUGAUUAGGUUUUUAUCUCAUUUCAAAAUUGAAUUUGAGGUGUUUUUACUGUUUUGAGUAUCAAUUAUACUGGUAGGAGGUGAGCAAAAAAUCAUUAUAAAGUAAAGUUUUUGUAUACUGUGAUGUGGAUUUUUUUUUCGGGGUCGUGCGUUGGCUGGUUAAGCAUUUAGGUCUUUCAAAUUUUGAGCAUUGAUUGUUGAGGUGUCCAACAACUUGGCUUUUAUAUCGUUCCAUAAGUGAAUUUUGAGGUAUUUUGCCAUUUCAUGAUAUUGAUCAUCCUUGUAGUAACUGAGUAGAAAAUGAAUAUAAAUUAAAGGUUUUAUGUGGUGUGUUGUUGAUUUCAUUAUUGGGUAUUGAUUUUUAUUUGGUUUAAGAAUAUGGGUUUUCAUAUUUUGAGCAUUGAAAGUUUUGUUGUCCAAUGGCUUUGCUUCCACCCUAUUUUAGUAGUGAAAUUUGAUUUUUUUUUUGCUUCUUUUAGUGUUGAUUAUGAUGGUGGUAGGUGAGCAAGAAAUAAGUCAUUGAGUAUAAAUCAAAGGUUCUCUCUAAUGUAUUAUUGAUUUAUUUUUUUGGUGUUGAUUGCUGGCUGAUUUAUCAUUUGGGGAUUCCAUAUUUUGAGUACUGAUUGUUGGGUUGUCCAACGAUCUGGAUUUAAUCUGGUGUUAGAAGUGAAUUUUGAGGUGUCUCAUUUUAGUAUUGAUUAUACUGUUGUUCAAUGAGCAAGAAACGAGUAUAAAUUAAUAUACUGAAAAAAUCAUAUUAGUUUAAGUGCUUGUGUAAUACAUGCAUAAUAAAUCUAAAUCUAGAAGAUGAAAUCUUGAAUUAGAAUUCCCAGGAUGGAUGAGCUAACAUGUUAUAUCUUGAUAUCUAGACCUACAAUGAGAGAAGGAAUGCAAUAUUUUAUCGAAAAAUUAAAUCCAUUAUAGAAUAGGUUUAUGGAUCUUAAUUAAAUAUGGAUGAUCAAAACAAACUAUUUUACAAAAAUCAGUGAUGAUCAAACCUCACUUUAUUUUCCCAAUGCAACAAAACCAAGCAAAGUUGUGAAUUCAUAAUUUCGGUUUUCCAUAAAUAAAAUAGGAAUCAACGAAUGGUAUCAUUUCAAGUCAUAUAAUUACUGGUAGACCUACAUUGUGAAAGGUCUGCUUGCAUUGUAAAGAAGCCUAGAUUGAAAAAAAAAUUUAUAAAUAAAAAAGUAUACAUACUCACACCUAGAUUUUUAAUUUCAAGUUUUAUUUGUAAUGUGCUAUUUAGGGUUUUGUUUAUUUAUUUCAUUUGUUUUAAAGCUUCAAUUUGCAUAAUGUCUUCUCUUUAUGAAUUGUGAUUAGGUAAAGUAUUUGAUAACUCUUGUUGAAAUUUGAGUUUUAUAUUUCUUUAAUGUUCCAUGUGAGAGUUUGAGCAUCAUGCCACUUAAAAUUUUUUGAAGUGAUCAGCAUGAUUUUGUAAAGUAUAUUACUGUUUAUUUUACUUUUUCUCUCCUUAAUUGCUAAGGGACUAGCAAUAUGUCGGUUGGGGGGAGUGAUUACUACUCAAAAAGUGUUAUUUUGUACCUUGUAAUUAACUCUUUUAAACACUUUUGAGUAGUAGUUAUUACCUUUUAACUCAAUUAGCAUAUUAAGUACCUUUGCAAUCGUUUCUAAUCAAAUUGUGUAAGUUUUGGUGUUUUUGAUAGUAUUUUGAUCACCAAAGAAAUCCAAGAUUGAGGAGAAUUCUAUGGAAUCCAUGGCAAAGCAAUUGGAAGCUCAUUAACAUAAAGAAUCUAAGCUUUGAAGUUUUAUAGUCCUUUGCCAUAAGCAAAUCAUGAAUGCAAGGAGAGAAAGCAAAGAGAGAAAUCUAACAUGAAGAAUUCAAGAAGAUAGCAACUGUUGGACACUUUUGGAGCACUUCCUGGAGCCCAUUUGAUGCAUAAUAUAUGUCGUUUUGAAGCUCGGGAAGUCAGCAAUCCAACGCUUUAAACGGUACAUGAAUCGGAGUUGAAAUGAAGAAGUUAGAGCCAUUGGAAUCCGAUCACACCAAGCUGAAGGCCAAUUUCGCAGGCUGCGAAAUCAGCCUUUGGUUGCAAAAUCACAAGAGGAUGGCUGCGAAAUCAGCCUUUGGUUGUGAAAUGGUGACCUUCAGCUUGCGAAAUUUUGCAGCCAUCUUGCAUGCUUAGGAAAUCCUCCUGAGUGCUUCCAGAUAUUUGCGACCGACACUUUUAGAUUUUUUUCUUCAGAUAUUUGAUGUUUAAAUCCCCAUUUUCUCCUUGUAAUCCACCAAUCAUAGGAUUCCUUGGUUAUUAAGUAAGAACAAAGGGUGAAUAACCUUAUAUAUAUUGUUUGUAAUUUUCAUUACACAAAACAUCUCGGGAACUUGUUCUCAGAGACAUCUUUUAUAUAGUUUUGAAGGAAGUAAAAUACAGAGCUUUGCUCUGCCUUACCUACUCAAUUUGAUUGUAUUUUUCUUUCUAUCCAAACAAGCUCUAAGGAUAUUUCCUCAGAGAAUGAGUGGCUAGACUUUUUGUCUCUUGGAGCUAAGGUAGCUGGGUAAGGUCUCGAGUGCAAGAAUUGGUAGUUUUGUUGUUUCAGCUAUUAAGGAAGAGAAAGUGUGACCCGUUAAUGGUUUCUAUGUUUUUAGUUAACUUAAAACGCCUUUAAUUCACCUAGGCCAACACUUGGUAAGGCAAGUGAUCUCCGUCCAUUGAGAUGCACUAGUUUACCUCUUGCGAGCCUUUGGGAGGUGACUCGAAGGUAGGAUUUUCUAGAAUUGCCAACACUUGGUAAGCUUUUGGACUCUAAGGAGACAUCCAUUAGUUAUCUCUUACGAGCUUGAGAAGGGAAGUCCAAGGUUAAUGAGCACUUUGAAUGGUAAAUGCUAGGUGAGAGGCACGAGCCAUUGCAAGUUGCAUCAGUGAGAGAGAUUUAGUGUUUGAAUCCAAUAACGGGAAGCAUCUGUACAACACCGAUUAGAGAAAUAACUAUAUGUUAAUUCUCUAAUGCGAGGAAAAGAUUCAAGUGACCGGAGCUUUGUUUUUGCAUGAGGAGUCUGACCCCAGUGAACCUAAAACUCCAAGGAACGCUUUUCUUCAUAAGUAAUUCCCAUUACUUUCUUUUUAGUUAGCUUAAAAUCUAUCAUUUUUCAAUCAAAGUUUAUGUUUUCUUUUGAAGCUAACCUUGAAAUGAAAAAAACACCAAUUCAACUUUGAAUUGGUAUCAGUUGUAAGUUGAAAACCCUUCCCAGUGAACGAUCCUAGAGCCACUAUGCUAUAUUAGCUAAGGCUAUCCUAGUGCAUGGUGAUAUAGGUUAUAAAUUUUGUUGAUUACUCCUGUUUGAGGACCAAACUCAAGGUACACCAGCUAGGCACGCAAUCAAUGUCAAAAUUGUUGUGAUUCAUGAUGACAGAGAUGUGUUUUUAGUUUAUUAGUACAUUACUUCGCAGGUACUUAGGUAAUUCAAACCUCUCUAGUCAUCUGGUACUUGAACUUGGGCAGCUAGAGUAUCUACAAUAUCUGUAUUUUUUCUCUUUGAUUGUUUAAUGUAGAAAGAUUGUGAUUCCUUAGUUUUUUAUUCUAUGGUUUGUCUUGCAAUAAUCUAUGGUAUGUUGAGAGAGUCAUUCGAGUUCUUUGAGUGUGGGAUGAUUGGAUAUUUCUUUAUGAACUAAGAUAUGGAAAAUCACCCUUUAAGAGUUUAGGAAUGAUGAUCUAUUAUGGAGCCUUAGGAUCCCUACAAAAUCUACUUUAAAUUUCCAGGAAAAAAAAUGUGAUUAGGGGGCUAUUAAUUCAAGAGCCCCCCAAUAGAUUAGGAUCUAAGGAACUCACACAGAGAUCUAGCAACACCCAUUCUUCUGGGUCUGAAAUGUGUUACGAUGUGUUGUGCAAUGCCACAAGAGUUUCCCAUCUAUGCGAUAUUAGAAAUAGAACUUGAGUUAUGGUUUCCUAACACCAGUGUAACUCUAAUUGUUGCUCCCAAAAAGGAGGCUACUAGUAUAACAUGCAGGAGAGUAUAUACAAAGUUUGAGUAUUUUUACCUCAAACAUCUCUACCAUGGGAAAGGUUUGGCUUUCUUUUCUUAGUUGAGUCUCAUUCUUAUUGUAAUGUUUAUUAUAAUGAAAUGAUGAAAAGAUGACAAAUAUUGUUGGGGUAAAUUGUUCAGAAAAGUGGCAGCAUGUUAUUUAAAUAUAUGAAUAUGGAACUGGAAACUCAGACUCCAAACAGGAAACAAAGGAAGGGAUAACAUUCUCUUAACAUUUAUGAUGGGCCCAUCACAUAGGGUUCCUUCUCAGUCACCCCAUUGAAAUCUAUCCAACAUAAGACACACCCUUAAUAAAAAACAAAAACAAUAAUAAAUGAAAAAAGAAAAUAAGGACAACAUAGUUUACCCUUGAACAAUGGAAUCUUUGAGAGCAUUUAGUAAGUUCUUAUAAACUUCACUAGAGAGAGUAUCAUCUAACAAAAUUGCUUUCAAUUUCUUAACUUCAAUGGAUAGGGUCAUUCAUUAUUAACUCGAUGAACGAAUUUGUUGCAUUAAACAAAUUGAUUUCAAAAAACCUAUAAUCUGGGAUGUAUUGAAAUCUUUAUCAGGAUAUGAUAGACUUUUGACUUUCGAAUGAAGGUCUAGGUAUAAACAAAUUAGGCCAAGGUUUACACCCAUAAAGUUAAUAUAGUAAGUUACGUACAUGGGAGUGAGAGUGAUAGAGUAAGUGUAAAAUAAGGAUGUCCCUCUUUGUUAUGUGGGAUCAUUUAAUUAUUAAUGUCUUCUCGAUGGUAAAAAGUAUAGUUCGAUAACGGUUGUAGGAUGUAAUUAUUUUUUUAAGAUGAUGAAGAAUGAAAGUGGAAAGAAACAUAGAAAAUGGUUUGGAGAUGAGGACAUAGGAAUGGUGGAUAGGAAGUAAGCCACCAUUCUUAUUCCUUAAGCAACUUCAUGGCAUUAGAUUAUAGAUACAAGGAUAUAUUAGGGAUUUGAUUAUAGAAAGGGGGCCUUCAUUCCCUUCUUCCACCUUUCCUCUUUGUCUUUUGUUUUGCUAAAAAAAAUUCUUACACGUUAGCUAAGCAUCACAUGCCCCGAGGAUGACCCAUUUCUGACCUCUCUCUCUAGUCCUUCUUUUUCUCUUUCCAACAUCAUUAUAUUCAUACAUAAUCAUAAUCCCUAUUUACUUUUGUUGUCGUUUUAUUUGUAACAAGUUUCUAUUUAAUUAAGGAAAUGGAAGAGGACAUGUUCUGCUACAUUCAUGAAGGCGGUCAACUAGUUAAAUGUGCUGGUGGGUCUGUAGAAUAUCAAGGUGGUCGAACCGAAUCCAUGGUUGUUAGUUGGAAUAUUUCACAUAGUGAUUUCAUUUCAAAACUGUGUGAUGAGCUGCACUUUGACUGAAGUUCUAUCAAAUUGGAAUUCACGGUCAAGUUUGACCCAUCAUGUCUACUACCGUUGCAUGAUGACGUAGUCAUACUUAAGAUGUUCAGAUUCAACGAAAUGUUUUAUCGAGUCUAUGUCUCAUCAUCAAGUGAAGUUAUUGCAGCCUAUAUAGCACUGACUAGGUACUUAUAGCCUUACCAACAUCACAUACACUUUGUCCAUUAACUUUUGAAAUAUAUGUAGAUGGAUGAAUAAUUUUUAUUUGUAGUGCCCCUACUCCUAUUGUUGGUUCAAAUUCGGCACAUGUACUUUCCUCCGAUGGUGAUCCGCCAAUGGAUAUCUGUAAUGACUCUCUUACAAUUGAGUCAUAUAGGUUUUCCCAAAGAUAUGCUGAAUUAAAUAUACUCGAACGUGAUUCAAGGCGGUUUGAAAAUUCCAUUAUGGGUAGUGGACAUACCUUCCCCAAUGUUACCGAGUUCCAUGAUGACGUGUAUUUGAUGUCAAUUGCUGGUAGAUUCCGUUAUUGCUUCAAGAGAAAUAGUACAAAACACAUGGCAGUUGUUUGCACAGUUAAUGAAUGUCCUUGGAAAGUCACUGCUCGUGCAGUUGGUGAAUCGAACAUCGUUUAGGUUCACACUUUUCAAAACCUCCACAAUCAUAGUUUGGAAGAUGUUGCCACAUGCCAACCUUUAGUGAGAUCCAAUCGUGCCUCAUUGCUUAUUGAUGAUGUCAUACAGUCCACUCCCCAUUACCAACCCUGCCAAAUUUGUAAGGACUUUCAAAGGCAACAUAGGAUGCAAUUGACGUAUCUUCAAGCAUGGAAUAUUAAGGAGAAGGCAAAUGAGCGCAUUUAUGGAGAACCCAAAUAUUAUUACAAAUUGUUGCCUUGGAUGUAUGAGAAAAUGGUUGCAACAAAUCUAGGAAGCAUUAUUGAGUUGAGACAUUUAAGUGAUGGGCAUUUUGAGUAACUCUUUAUUGCUCAUUCGGUAUCUAUCCAAGGGUUUGAAAUGGGGUGUCGGCCAAUCAUUGCUAUUGACUCCGCCCAUAUGAGUGGGCCAUAUAGGGGUGCAUUAUUUUCAGCCACUGCAUAUGAUGCAAAUGACUCCAUAUUCCCCUUAGCCUUUGGCGUGAUGAGCUCAGAAAAUUAUGGCAAUUACUCUUGGUUUUUGCAAAACUUGAAAAAGGUUGUUGGAGAUAAGGAAGUCGUUAUUAUCUCGGAUAGACAUCAUGUUCUCCUUCAUCGUGUUCCUGAAGUGUUUGGGCUUGAAAACCACGCCUACUGUUACCGUCACUUGAAGGAAAAUUUCAACUCUUUUUUGAGCAAACGUAACACAAGAGGGAACAAAGGUAAAGAAAAUGCACUCCAAUUCCUUGAUAGUAUUGUCUAUGCAAGGUUAGAGUACGAUUACAAUGUUUUCGAGGUUGAACUACGGAAAUACAAUGACACUUUAGCCACAUGGGUUGAAGAAAAUGCACCCAAACAUUGGGCUAUGUCAAAAUUCCCAAAACAAAUAUGGGAUAAAAUGACCACAAACCUUGCCAAGUUGUUUAAUGCUUGGUUAAGGAAUGAAAGACAUCACUCCAUUUGUGUCUUUCUAAUGGAGCAUAAAGGUAGUACCUAAGGUACAUUAAGGUAGUACCUAAGGUACAGUCCCAAAAAACCAAAGGUGGACCACUUGACCACAUAAGAGAACCACAUAAUGGCAUGGUCUAAGGGUNNNNNNNNNNNNNNNNNNNNNNNNNNNNNNNNNNNNNNNNNNNNNNNNNNNNNNNNNNNNNNNNNNNNNNNNNNNNNNNNNNNNNNNNNNNNNNNNNNNNGGUAGACCCCAACUUUAGCUAAGGUAGUACCUAAGGUCCCUAAAGGUAGUACCUAAAGUACAUUAAGGUAGUACCUAAGGGCUCUUAAGGUAGUACCUAAGGUACAGUCCCAAAAAACCAAAUGUGGACCUCUUAACCACAUAAGAGAACCACAUAAUGGCAUGGUCUAAGGGUCACAAAAGAAGGCCUCGUUUGGGAAAGUUAGACCCCAGUUUUAGCUAAGAUAGUUCCUAAGGUACAAUCCCUAAAAACCAAAGGUGGACCACUUGACCACACAAGAGAACCACAUAAUGACAUGGUCUAAGGGUCAUAAAAGAAGGCCCGAGGCUUGGGAAAAGUAAACCCCAACUUUACCUAAGGUAGUACCUAAGGUCCCUUAAGGUAGUACCUAAGAUACAAUCCCAAAAAACCAAAGGUGGACCACUUGACUACACAAAAGAACCACAUAAUGGCAUGGUCUAAGGGUCACAAAGGAAGACCCAAGGCUUGGGAAUGAUAGACCCCAACUUUAGCUAAGGCAGUACCUAAAGGCUCUUAAGGUAGUACCUAAGGUUUAAUUCCAAAAUACCAAAGGUGAACCACUUGACCACACUAGAGAAUCACAUAAUGGCAUGGUCUAAGGGUCACAAAGGAAGACUUGAAGCUGGGGAAAGGUAGAUCCCAAUUUUUGCUAAGGUAAUACCUAAGGUAUAUUAAGGUAGUACCUAAGGGCUCUUAAAGUAGUACCUAAGGUACAGUCCAAAAAAUCAAAGGUGAACCACUUGACCACAUAAGAGAACCACAUAAUGGCAUGGUCUAAUGGUCACAAAGGAAGGCCCGAGGCUUCGAAAAGGUAGACCCCAACUUUUGCUAAGGUAAUACUUGAGGUACAUUAAGGUAGUAUCUAAGAGCUCUUAAGGUAGUACCUAAGGUACAUUCUUAAAUAACCAAAGGUGAACCACUUGACCACAUAAGAGAAUCACAUAAUCGCAUGGUCUUAAGGUCAUAAAUGAAGGUCCGAGACUUGGGAAUGGUAGACCCCAAGUUUAGCUAAGGUAGUACCUAAGGUCCCUUAAGGUAGUACCUAAGGUACAUUAAGGUAGUACCUAAGGGCUCUUAAGGUAGCACCUAAGGUACAGUCCGCAAAAUAACAAUGCCACUUACAACCUUUUGCUCUUGUUAGAGCUCGCUAAGUCCACUUACAAACUUUUCCAUGCUAAGGCCACUUACUCUUUGGCUUUGAUUUCCAUAUUACCUUCAAAUGGGCGACUCCAAACACAACUUUCCCAUUUUUUUUAAGCCAUAGAAAUUUGCAUGUUAAAACCAUAAUUUUUCUCCCACGUUUUAAAAUUCCCAUUUGCGAGACCUUUUUUUUUUUCGUUUUGACUCUUACCACAUUAUAAAUGCAACACACAAAUUACUUGCAAGACUACUUAAAAAAUAACUUAUGCUUUUAGCUGGACCUAGUAUUUUUUUUAAAUUUUCUUUUUAUUCUUUAUGCAAUAUAAAAAUUUUAAGUUACACUGGAAACCAACUGAAUCCACAAAUACAAGGAACUCUUUCACUCUUCAGUCAUAAAGUAUUCACAAAUCAAAAUACCAACUCCUAUUGAAAACAACAAGCUCUUUCAAUAUGCUAUACCACACACAACAACUGGAUACCAGAUUUCUAUGCAUUUGAAAAGGUUGAUUAAAUCUCUUAACUCUUCCACAUAACUCCUUUAAACAAUAUGAGGAGCUUACCUGCCAUACUGCCAUAUCUAAACCUUGAAUUUAUGAUAAAUAUCCACAAGUUUUCUUAGAUGUAUCAACCUAGGAUCAACUAAUCAAAAUAUUCACUCAUAUAUUAUAUAUAAGAGGCAAAAAACAGAACAUGACUUCUAAACAAAAUUAGCACCAAGUCCAUGAUUUCCUGAUAGCAACCCAUUCUAGAAUGAGUUAUUCCCUCACAUGAUUUCUGGUACAGAUGUUCUCAAAGAAUUCAUACUUAACCAUCCUAGAAAACUAUUCCCAAUAAAAAUAAAAAUAAAUCCCUAAUAUGUUCCUGUACAAUUUGCAGUUCACACAAAGCAAAAACCACUGUCUUGUACGAAACCACAAAUUGCAACACAAUUAAUAAAAGAAAAAAGAAACAAAUAGAAAAACCCCACAAGAAUGCAGUAAAACUAUCAUUCAGCAAAUUCUGAAAUAAAAAAGAAACAAAUAGAAAACCCCACAAAAAUGCAGUAAAACUAUCAUUCGGCAGUUUUGGAAAUAAAAAAGAAACAAAUAGAAAAACCCCACAAGAAUGCUGAAAAACUAUCAUUCAGCAAUUUUGGAAAUAUUGUAAACCAACACCAUUAUCAUUCAAGCUUCUGAAGUAACCCAUGAUGAGAGCAAGAAGAUCAUAGAACACUUCGAAAAUAAUCCAUACCCACUGAAGAAAAACAUGAUUCACGGAGACCCACAUACCUCAUGCCCCUCAUCAAUGAAAAGUCUGUAAGCCAUGUUCGGGUGUUUUCUUUGAUUGGGUUUCAGAUUUCAUAACUUUCCGGUUCACAUUUGAGUGUUUAUUAAAUGGGCAAUUUUGGAUAUCGGUGGCUACUGACAUGGAGACCGUGGUGGCUGCUGAUAGGGAAAACUAAAGGGCAAUUUUGAAAUAGCUCACCGAAAUAGUAUAUAGUGCACAAAAAGAAUAAUAGUUUGGUCAUUGACGGACAAAGCCCAUAUUCCAGUUUCUUUGGGUUUGAUUUGCAUAUUACAUUCAAAUGGGCCUUCCGAAACACAACUUUCCCUUAAAAUAAUCUAAAUAAUAUUUCUCUUGUGAAAGCCCAAGCAUUCUUAUUGUUCUUCCUCUUUCUCCUCUUUAUCAGGCAUUUUAUUAGCAAUUGAUUAUGCAUCUGAAUUUUUUCAUCAACUCCUAGGAGUUCAUUGACGGUCAGCGCUUGGUAACACAUGCCUAUAUGUCUCACAUGUUUGGGUUGAGAGCAAAGCACUUAGGUCUUCACAAAGCAAUUUGUGUUCUGUUGGGAUGGAACAACAUUGUGCCCCCAGACACAAUAACAUGGGUUCCUCAUGUCUUACUUGGUGAUGAAGCUUUGAAUCAGAAAGAGGACCUCAUUCUCUGGCCACCACUUGUCAUCAUCCAUAAUAUUUCUAUUUGGAACAGUGAUCCAAAAGAAUGGAAGCUUGUAACCACUGAAGCGCUUGGGGCUUUUCUCAGAGGUUUGUGACUAACUUUUGGUUAAAUAAUCAUGUUGAGUUGGUUUACAACUGAAUUUAAUUGGAGGGAAUGCAAUGCAUAUAAAAAAUAAGAAUGCAAUUUAACCUAUUCUUGACGAGCAACACAGGAUGAGAAAUAAGAGAUUAUCAUUAUUGUCAGAUAAUAAGUCUGACCAAAAAGACAAGCUCAUUAUCAACCAACCCAACUUAAACUCGACCCUAAUAAACUUGUUGAACAAACACGUUGAAUCCUGCCCCAUUUGAUGAGAAAACAUGGCUAACCUUAUGAUGUAAUUCUUAUUUUGCUACUUGAAAAUUAUCAGUUUUAAAAAACUUAGAAGACUAAUGCCCUUAUACUUUCAUGGGAGUGAACCUCUCAGUAUCCUGAGCAAAAGCCUUUUCUUUUUUUUUCUUUUUUCCUUCUGAUCGUUGACUACUUGUUUUUGUGAAGAUUCUUCAAAAUGCCCUGGUUGCUUCCUUCAAGUCUUCACACCAUUAGAAAUCUGUAGUGCCCUUGCUGUGAUUUGACUAUUUCAUUCUUAUUCCCAAGUCUCAAUAUUUUCCUUUCCUUCUUUUAAAUCAACCCAAGAAUUUUACAAAUUUGUCUUAUUUUUGUAGUAGUUUCUAUAUUGGUUUUGAUUUGGAAGUGAGGAUGACUUCACUGAAAAUGUACAAAUUAAGAAAAAUUACAAAUGAUAAGCUCUUGAAAUUUACAAAAUUCAAGAUAAAUACAAGGCAGCCACUUCUCAUUCCGUCAUCUGUAAAUCACACAUACUUGUGUAUGCAAAUGAAGAAGAAACAAUCAUUUUCUGAAACUUUCCUUUACCUCCUUUGGAAGUCAAGGAACUUAAUGCCAUAGGCAAAGACAAAUAAGAAGAGGAGGACCCAACCAAUAUGAGCCAAGGCAACCGCUCCCAGGAAAUCAUAUUCAAAGCCUAAAGCCUCCUUAAGAUACUGCUUCACUGACAUGUCAUCUGCUCCGGGUACCUGAACUGGAUCCUCCUUGUCGCCCACCUGAGAUGUCACUAGUCCGUAGAUGGUCCAAGCAACAGGGGAAGCCCAGUAGUACCACCUCCACCAUAUUGGUAUUUGCUGCAGAUGUACAGUUUGUUAGAAUUCAGUAUUCUUCUACAAAAACAUACUCAAAUUCUUCGUAGGCAUACGCACCAUCCUAUGGAUGAGAAAGCCAGAGAAGAGAUUCCAAAAGCUUAGGAAGAAGGACAUAACAAUGGCAGCAAUUUGAUGGCUGGGAGUGAGUGCUACAAUCAUCAUUCCAUACAAUGUGAAGUAAAUAAAGCACAUGAAUAGGUAGUAGUAGAACCAUAAGAACUUGUCCACUCGCCAGUAGAAUCCCAUCAUAGAGUAGAGGAGAAAACUGUAAAGACAAGUUUGGAUGGCAACGUAAAUUGCCUCUAUGGCCACCUGCAGGGCAUCCGAAUACAAGAUUAGUUUAAAGUUAAGCUCUACUAGAAAUGUGUAUCUGUUUCACAUUUGUUUUGUCAAAAGGCAACCUGGGCAAAUGCGUAAGACAAUGCUGAAUACAUCCCAGCUGCCCUUUCACGGUAGAAGACUGUUCUCUCAAUUGCCACAACAGGCUGCACUGCGGCAGUGUUGGUGGUUCCAAGGAAGAAGACAGCUGAAAACAUAGCUCCCAGCAGAUUUAUUAGGUCUUGUUCUUUGUCUCUGCAUACAGUAGUUGGGGUGUUGGUUCACAUUUUUUCUUAAUUAUUAAUGGAGAAACACCAAAAUAAUAAAUUUGCAAUACUUACGUCUGCUUUCCUUUGUUCCUGAAAAUUGCUCCAAAUAGAACACCAAUAAUUAUGGUCAAGAAGAGCCGGAUAGCAUUAUAGGGAGGAUUCCUCCAAUAAGACCAGUGCUGUUUCCAGAAGCAAGCCUUGCAUUGGGUAAUAAAGCUUUGAGAGUAUUUGGUGGGGAAAUAAAGGUUUUUGGAUCCUGGUGAUGGUGUGCUGAUCACUUUGAUGAGUUCCUGAUUCCUCCUACAACAAAAGGUGGAGUGUAAUAAGUCAUCGGAAAAAGAAUUGAGACAGAAAGAUGAAGUUCCAAGGAAUCAUAAUCCACUUACUGAUAGAGUUCAGAUUUAGCAUAAAUUUCCGCAAAAUCCACACCAAGUUGAGCCUCAACUGCAGCAGAGCUGACCUCCAGCAUCCAUGUAGCAGGAUUUUGACCAUCUCUGACUUUAGGAACCCCCGGGACAGCCUGCAGCAAGUUAUAGAUAUGAUCAUGACACACUCCUUAUAAGUAUAACAACGGAGAUGGAGCAAGUUCACGGAAGAUGAAUAAUGCUCACUUCAAAGUACUCUACAAGCUUGUGAGAAUUGCGACCAAGAGGUCCAGCAUAAAUGAUUUGUCCUCCUCUCUUCAUCAGCAAUAGCUGCAGGCAAAAAUGAUGUUGGAUUGAAGAAAGGAAUGGUGACUCCAUGAUAAUCAUAUCAAUAAGAAGUAUUAGAUACAAAACCAUGAAACUAAGAAAUACCUCAUCGAAAGCUUCAAAGAUGUCUAUGCUUGGCUGGUGAAUGGUGCAGACAACAGUCCGCCCUGUAUCCACUAUGUUUCUAACAGUACGCAUAACAAUUCUAGCUGCUCUAGCAUCAAGGCCUGUCGUUGGCUCAUCCAUGAAGAUGAUGGAGGGGUUAGCAACCAAUUCUACACCAACUGUCAGCCUCUUCCUCUGUUCUGUUGAAAGCCCAUCUAUUCCCGGAAGGCCAACCAAAGCAUUCCUCAGGGGGUGAAGCUCAACCAAAUCCAUUACUUCCUCAACAAACAUCUGUAGCACGGAAGGAACAAAAGAAAAGAACUGAUGAAUAUAGCUUGUAGUAGGGUGAAACUAAAUGAAAAAUCAUUCAUUUGAAAAAGGACAUGCCUGCCUUGUUUCCUUCUUGACAUCUGGAGCAAGGCGCAGCCAGGCUGAGUAAACAAGAGAUUCAUAAACAGUUACAUGUGGAGAAUGUAUAUCAUUCUGUGCACAGUAACCACUAACACGAGCGAAAGUUGCUUGGUCUUGGGGGUAACCAGAAAUGCUGAUUCUUCCUUCAAUGUACCCACCAGUUUUCCUUCCUGCUAACACAUCCAUCAAAGUGGUCUUUCCAGCACUACUAACACCAACUAAUGCCGUUAGAAUACCUGGCCUGAAAGCACCGCUAGCAUCCCACAGCAGUUGGAGACGAUCUACUUCAAUUCCUUGGCUCUUCAUUUCCUGUGAUUGAAUCCAGAAAAAAGUUUCAAAUCUCUAGACCAAGAUCAUAUCCUAACAUAUAUAUUAGUCUCACUUGUGUGUCUAAAUACUCAAAACAAGUUACUUACGGCAGGCAUAUCAACAUAGUAAUUCACAUGCUCAAAUGCAAGUGAUAAGGGCUGGAAGGGCAACACCAUUUCCCUUUUAGUAGGCUCAUGAUUUGCAUCUUUGACAACUGAUUUGGUGUUUUCUCCAGUGUUCCUUACUUCCAUAUCAAUACCUGUUACCAUAGACCUAAUAUCAGCUACCAGAUAAAGAAAAUCUGAUAUUUAUGUUAUUUGUAAUAUCUGGUAUCACUAGCCUCUUCAAGAAGUGAUUAACAAAAAUUUUGUGAGGGUCAUGUAAAAAGCUGGUGUAUCCUAGAGAAGGAGAACCAAUAGCAAGAAGCAAGUUUUAUGCAAUAUAAUUUCUCAAGAGCAAGCUCAGAAAUUGUAGCAACAUAAUAGUUGAUGAAACAUUAUUAAUUGCAACAUCUUUUCCUCUCUGCAAAGGGAUAUUUGCAGCAUGUUUCAGAAGAAAUAGAUCUCAAAACUUAUCCUUUUUGUCCCAACUUUUUGAAAUCUAUCUUGACAUCCACCACUUUGUUAUGCUUGAGUUUUAAGCUAUCAUACUACUGGUUUUCGGCAUUGAUAAACCACUCAGUUUAUUGAAAAUGAACACCAUAAGGUGGCAAUGAGAGGGGAGUUGAUUCAAUUGAAAAACUAGAUAUUCAAUUGAAAAACUAGGCAUUGAUAACCUAAUGCUUGGUUAAUAAAAUAUAUAGAAACGCUAGAAGACAAACAAACAACAAAAAACCAGAGGAGACCAAAGUAGGAAAAAUCUUGAACCUUGAGGCAUUGGGGCAACAGAUGCUGAAUUUCUUUCAGCGGUGGUCAUUUUAUGCUCUUUGUUAGAGUAAAACUGCUUCUCACUCUUUUUUUCAUCAUCCUCAUCAAUAAUGACAGAGUUUGAGCCUUCCAGAGCUGCAUUUGAGUUUCAGAAAAUUGUCAAAACUAGAAUCUUAUUUAAAUAAUACCCAGUUCUGACUGAUGGAUGAUAAUUCCAUGACUAAAACCUUUGGAGGGAAGGAAAAAGGAAAAUGUAGGUUAGCAUAAGCAAUAACUUACGGUUCAAAUAUGUCAGAGCUGCAAUGAAACAGAUAUUGAAGAGCAGAGAAAACCCCGUGAGUGCACCAACACAAAUCCAAUACCAAUAUCCAUCCACAAACAUGCCUCUUUCCUUGAGAAGAGCUUUCCCAACUGUGGGUUCUGGAAUUCUUCGAUUGAUGUUGGGCUGUGCCAAAAACCGAGUAGUGUAUACAAAGACAGACCAAGUAAUGAAGGUAGAAAUGCCCAAGCUUAAAACAAAGUGAGAAACAAUCAUUCAAAAGCUACUAGGAAACCUUACCGCACUCCAUCUGUCAUCAAGAAAUUCAUUGAUGACAAGCGCAUUUUGUCCAUACGUCAUUGGAGAAGCAUAAUAUGCCCAUAUCAUCCAUGGUUCAAUAUCAUCUGAGGAAGAAGGAUAAACAAAUGGUUUAUUAGAUUAUCACUCAUAUGAUAUAAUCACAUGAAGAGUGCCCCUCUCCCUUUCCAUUUGAAAUAUGGCAUCAGUGUUGCAAAAACAAUCAGCUCGCAUAGCAAAAAGACACAAAAUACUGACCUUUGGAUACAAUGAAUCCACCCCGAACAAAAACCAGUAGUAAUGUAAAGGUAGCAAGGGUGUUGGCCACAAUCUGUGUUCUUCCAAGUGCUGCAAUGAAGCGGAAGAGAGACAAAGCCAUCUGAUGCACGAGAAAUAAUGCCACUAAUUGACGGAAAAACCUGAACAAUUUUCAAGUCUUGGGUUGUUACAGUUCCAUUUGUGAAUGCUAAAACACAAGUCAGGAAGAAUGGAGGUCCAUUCACAUACCUACUAGCAGAAGGGGCAAACCCAAUAGUGUAAUACGUGAGAAUGAUCCAUAUCCCUGACUCCAUGAGUGACAAGGGGAUCCUAAGGACCCAAAUUGGUAAUGCAAAAGCCCAUGCCGGGUAAAACAAUAAGUCCCUCUGCUUAAAAAACACUGGGAGCCUGAAAAUAGUCAAUGCAAGCUCUGCCAUUCCGUUAUACAUUACAUUUAUGAGACCAUAAAACAGAGCCCCAUUGAAUUUUACUCCAUCUUGCAGUUGGCCAUGCUUCAUUUCUGUUCUGAAGAACACUGUCAUGGCAAUUACUGACAUGAUUGUAAUCUGGGUUGUCUUGAAUAUGUAUAUAAAAGAGUUGCGCUUCAUCAAUAGCCACUCUCUGACAAAGCAUGCCUUGAAGAGUUCCCAGUUGGAGAUUCCAUACUUUUCUGUCACCAAUGCUGCAGGUUGGGUUCUGCUCUUAUUGUAAGGGAUUCCAAGGUCAUCUGAAAGCUUCUGGCCAAUGUGGAAAGAGUUGAAGUGUUGCACAAACUCGGGCACUGAGAUAUAUUUGUAAGGUUCAUUCUUUCUGAACCAGUAUUGUUCUUGGUCCUUUCUGGAAGUCACCUCGUGCAAGAAGUCCACAACUCCUUUUCUUUCCGGGCAUUUGAAGCCCAUGCUUUCAAAGAACUCAAGGAUGUUUUCACGGGGACCUUGGUACACAAUCUGACCCUCACAUAGUAAGAUAAUGGCAUCAAAAAGAUCAUAAGUUUCAGGUGCGGGUUGGAGAAGAGAGAUUAUCAUGGUUACUUCCAUGAUAUGAACCAUCUGCCUCAUAAACUUAACAAUCUGAAAAGUGGUGGAACUGUCCAGACCAGUUGAUAUUUCAUCCAUGAAAAGAGCCUUUGCUGGUCUAACCAACAUUUCUCCUGCAUUCAGUUUCAUCAGUCGUAUUAGGCUUUUGUCCAGUGUUAAAAAUCUUAAGAACAGGGACUCCUCAGAAAGCAGACAAUUCAUAAUUGAUCGGUAGCUCAAUUCAAAUUGAAGGCAAAUGCUUUACCACUAAGUUGGAAGAAACAAUUGAUAUAGGACAUAAUCAAUGGAAAUGGGGCACAUACCAGUAGUAACACGCUUCUUUUCUCCACCAGAAAUGCCCCUUCUCAUAUCGUCUCCCACCAUAAUGUCAGCGCAGAUAUCUAAUCCCAGCAUCUGUUACACAGACAAUGUUAAAGAGCGUAAAGCUUGGGAAUGUAACUAAUAGGUCAGGCACCAAAUGGAAACGGAGCUACAAACCUUGAGCACGUAAUCUGUAACCAAAUUAGUUUCUGUUGCUCUCAUGAACGCAUCUAUCUCAGGAUCUGGCUUAAUUCCAGCUUCUUUUUCUCGUCUUGACAAUUCUGCAAGUAGUUCAUAUCUGGUUCCAACCCCCAAACAUCGUCCUGAGAAGUCCAACGUUUCCCUAACUGUCAUCUCACCAUGGUGCAGAUCAUGCUGGCCAAUGUAAGCACAUGUUCUCUGAGGAACAAACUCUGAUGAUUCAUGACCACAGUAUGUGAUUCUUCCUUCCAUCUGUCCAUAAACACCGUACACAACAGAGCUACUAGUUCAGGAAUCGGGACUAUCACCAUCACUAAAUAAUUCAAAAUUCAGGAACAGUCUGAGGACAUGGGCUGAAACUUGGGAAGGAAAUAAUAAUGACACAGUGAAGGAUCGAAUUGGAUAAAAAUAUUUGUCAGAAUGUAAGUUGUGGGGGACAACAUACCCUUAGAUCUUUGUUCAUCUUCCCAGCAAGCGCCUGUAGCAGGGUAGUUUUUCCUGAGGCUGGAGGUCCCAGAAGCAGAGUCAUUCUGCAAAACACAGAAGCUAAUCAAGAAACCGGCAAAGAAAGGAAGUGUACUUAAUGGGAAAAUUUUUUGUUAUCCUAUUAAAAUUUCCCAGAAUAUGUAUCAAUCAAAUUAUAUAAAGACAUCAUUCAGGAGAUUUGUGUUAAGGGCAACAUGAUUGAUUGAAAGGUACUUCCAAAAAUGGAAUACAUUUACCUUGAUGGUUUCACGAUCCCACUCACAUCUUUUAGUAUCUUGACUACCCUUUUCUUAGAUGGGGAAAGCCUAAUCAGUCCAAGUAUUCCCUGUUCAUGACAACAAAUAAACACAAUCAUAAUUCAUUCAUCUCUACAAAUUCCAACAGUCUACUGAAUUGAAGCAAACUUCUCCCAAAAACAUUAUCAGGAGAUUGAAGUCAUUCAUCAUAAUUUGCUGAAAGGGAAAAUCAAGAAUCACCAUCGAAAACAGAAGAAGAAAAACAAAGGGACAAACAGAACAAACCACCUCUAUGAAGUUCAUGGUAGAAUUGAUCAGAGUAGGAAGUGCCCUGGUUCCAACAUAUGCGUCUCCUUCUAUUGAUAAAUGCUCAAACCGGACUUCGAUUUUUGGAAUCUCAACCCCAACCCUGUUGAGAAAACAGAUGUUACGUUCCAUAAAACUUUUCUGGUAACAAAUUCAACUGGGGCAAAGCCAAAAGCAAAAAAACACAUGACUAACAGGGUGAACUUCAUGGGAAGAAAGAGAGAAGAGUGACCUAUCAGUCCUUUCCCUGAGCCUGAGAAGGAACUUCUCAUUAUCUUCUUCAACAACCUUUGGUAUACUCUCUAUGUGAUGCUUCCUCUCCUGCAUACCAAGAUUGGUGAAGUCAACUUCCUCAUGGACAACCUUCCCAUCAUCCAAAACUUGCUUAGGCAUCUCCUUGCUCAACCGCUCAAAGGUUGGAAGCCUUUCAAUGGCCGCCCACUUCAAUUCUUCCUCAUCAUCCUCUCUCCUACUCCUCUGAAAAACAUCACCUUGAGCUGACAACGCCUCACAAAUACUCGCAGAAGCCCAACUACGCCUACUUCCAGACGAUGAACUUUUACGCCUGCUGCUCAUGGAACUUGCUAGAUCAUCCUCAGCCAAUGAUGCAGCCAUUGUCCCCCACCAAAACCCCUCAGAGUAAAGACUCCAAACCCCACUUUAUAAUAACCCUGGAAAGCUGAGAUUCAACCGGUAAGCUAGCUCAACACGCUAGAGAAGGUUUCGAUGGAAUGGUGAUGGAGUGUUCGCCUGUUAGUUUAGGAGAGUUGGCGGCGGAAACCCCUCAGAAUAAAGACUCCAAACCCCCUUUAUAAUAACCCUGGAAAGCUGAGAUUCAACCGGUAAGCAACACGCUCGAGAAGGUGUCAAUGGUGUCGGAGUGAUCGCCCGCUAGUUUAGGAGAGUUGGCGGCGGCGGUAGUCACUGCCUGCGUGGAGCCGUUGUUUGUUUUAAAGUCACAUCAUAAAAAAUUGCCUUACAUGUAAAAUUCUUUUAUCAAAAAUAAAAACUAAAAUAGAAAAUUUGCCACCUCUACAAAAAAAAUAUAAAUUUAAUUUUUCCAAAACAAAAUUAUCAUUUGUCAUUAAUUACUAAUAAUAUAUUAAGAUUGAACGAAAAUUAAAAAAUAAAAUAAAAUCUCAUUUAAUAUUUUUCGUAUUUAUUCCUUUUUAUACUCUUGUUUUAGGGUUGAUUUAGCUAAAUCGUAAAAAAUAAUACUUACUAAGUUUUUAUUAACUAUUUAUAUUUUUACUUGGAAGCAUGAAUAUAAUAUGAAUCCAUCAAAAUUUAGCUAUUAAGUUAUGGGUGUUUUAGUGAUGUAUCAUAUAAAAUAUAAAUUUUAAUUGAAAGACUUUACUUUCAACUAUCUUAUAUUUAAUUAUUUGAAAAAGAAUAAGAAUUAAGAUACUGAUUUUGUAUCUAUGAAAAUCUUAAUCUCCAUUUUUAAAAGUACAUAUAAAAAAUAAAAAUAAAAAUCUAAGUUUUUGAAUGUAAGUACAAAAAAUGAAAUCAAGUUGUAAAACACGAGACUUAACACACACGUCUUCUAUUUGAAAGAUAUCAAAAUUUAUAAUAGAAGUUAUUGAAUUUUUUUAAAAUAAUUUAAAAUGUUUUUGCUAUAAAAUGAUUAGAAUUAUUGAUCUAAUGAAUUUUUUUUCCUACUUUUUAAUUCUUUUAAACAUUUCCUUUAAAUAUUCUUGAUCAUUUUAUUUAUAUAAAGUCCAAAAAAAAUUUCAAGUGUACUUAUACCAUGGUUGUUUAAUUUAAUAUAUUUUUAUAAUUAAUAUUUAAAAUUAUUUACUUUUUAAUAAUAAUAUAAAAUAUCAUUAAUUACCUUAUAAUUUAUAAAUGAUAAUUACAAUAUAAUAUUCUUAGUGGAUGUCCUCGUGACAAAAGUCUUGGGUGGACAAGUAUAUUGCCUUUUAAAUUAUUUUACAAGUCUCGUUAUUUCCGCCCGGAUUUUUUUAUAAUUGUACCGUGAAUUUAAAAUUAAUUUUUUAAAAUACGGCACUAUGAAAACUAUUUCCAAAUCUACGGCAUUUUGUAUCACUUUUUAAAGGUAUCUCUUGAAAAGACAUUUUACAUCAUUUUUAUAUAAAUGAUACAUGUUCAAAAAAAUUGAAUUUACAUUGAAGGUAUCUCUUCAAGAGACACCUUCCACAAUUUUUAUAUCAAUAACACAUGUUAAAAAUUUUGAAUUUACAUUAAAAGUAUCUCUUUAAGAGACUUUUUUUAAUUUUAUAAAAUUAAAUUUAUAUUAAAAGUGUCUUUUAAAUAGUUAUUUUUCACGGUUUUCAUAUCAGUUGCAUAAUAAAAAAAUUGAAUUUAUACUAAAGAUGUCAGACACACUUUCUAAAAUUUCACAAAAUUAAAUUUAUAUUAAAAAUGUCUCUUGAAGAGACACCUUUAACAAUUUUUGCAUCAAUCAUCCAUUGAAAUAAUUGAAUUUAUAGGUUAUGUUUGGUUCCCGAAAAGUAUUAAGAAAAGAAAAAAAUUGCUUAAGAAAAUAAUUUUCUCAUGUUUGGUUGUCUUAUAGAAAAUAAUAAAGAAAAUAAUAUAUAAGUAAGAUUAAUUAAAAAUUUAUAUAUUUUCAAAUUAUUUAAUCUUUAUAUUGAAAAGUGAAAAUAAGUAAAAUGAGUUUGAAGUAGCAUGUAAAAAUAAUUUAUUGAUUUUAAAUCCAUUGUUAUUUUCCCUCAUUUUUUCUUUCAUUCUAUUUUCCUUUCUAUUUUCUUUCCCUUGUAUUUUCCUUUACAUUUUCCAGGAACCAAACAUAGCCUAAAAGUGUAUUUUCAAAAGACACAUUCCACAAUUCCAUAAAAUUAAAUUUAUAUUGAAAUGUUUUCCUUCAAGAAACACUUUUAGUAUAAAUUUAAUUUUUUUUUAUAGGUGACUAAUAUAAAAAUUGUAAAAAGUGUUUCUUUAAAAGACACAUUUAGUAUAAAUUCAAUUUUGUGAAAUUGUAUAGACUCCUUCAAUGUAAAUUUAUUUUUUUUCACUGUGUAAUUGAUAUGAAAAUUAUAAAAAAUGUCUCUUCUAGAGACAUCUUUAGUAUUAAUUUGAUUUUAUGGUAUUGUGGAAAUGAUAUUUUUUUAAUAUAAAUUUAAUUUUUUUUUAAUAUAUAUGACUAAUAAAAAAAUUAUGGAAAAGUGUCUUUGGAAGAGACACUUUAACAUAUAUUCAAUUUUAUGGAAUUAUGGAAUGUAUCUUUUCAAGAGACUCCUUUUGUGUAAAUUUAAUUUAAUUUUUUUUAACAUUUAUGGUUGAUAUAAAAAAUAUAGAAGAUGUCUUUUCAAAAAAUAUAUUUCAAAAUGACAAAAAAAUAUAGUAGAUUUGGAAUUAUUUUUUAAAGUACUAUUUUUUAAGAAUUAUUUUUUUAAAUAGCCGUACAAGUUUAAAAAGCCCGUCCAGGGCUGAGAACUGGAAAAAGGAAGACGGUCCGACACACUUGAUAAAAGGAGACAAGACUUUGGUCAUGUAAUUCCAAAUCUAUCGAAGGAAAAGGUAUUAAUUUGAAAGAAAUCCUAAUCAUUGACUCGGCUUCCACAUGUAUUUCUACCAUCAUCCGACCACUCAAAUUGGUUUUUUUAUAUUUAUGAUUUUCAUUGAUUUCUGUCCAACCCAAACCUAUCGAAUUAAAAGAGGAAAAGGUAUAUAUUGAUUAAAAAGAUUGGAAAGAAGUACUAAUCAUUGACUGAUAGGCUUCUUCACCAUCUAUAACAAAAGAAAUAUUUGGUUAAAAGGAUGAAAUAAUUCUCAAAAUUAAAAAUCUAACCCUUUUCAUAUUUUUUUUGAAAAAAUAAUUCAUUUUUUAUAUAAAUAUUAUUUUCUAUUUUAAGUAUUUAUAUGUAGGUUUUAAAAGAAACGGUUGUUUUUACAAGAAAAUAAUGAGAAUAUUUUUGUCCAAAUGAUACCAAAAAAUGGGUGAGAGGUUAAAUUUCAAAAGUUGGAUUUUGAGAGGCCCUUUUAAUCAAAUAACCCUUUACAAAAAUUCCUUUUCAGGUCACUCUAAUUAAGGAAAUAGACUUUUGUUUUAAAAAAACCUUUUUUGGGCAUUUUAUUAAAAAUUAACUUUUUGGACAAUUUUAUUCACAAAACGAUUUUUUAAAUCAUUUUUAUUAAAUAAAUAAUUUUUUUUUUGUUUUUUUAGGACAAUUAUUAUUAAAAACAAUUUUUUGAAAUUUUGGAUUUUUGGAUAUUCAAUUCUGUACCCAAUGAGUAAACAUAUAUAAAUGAAUAUUUACGAAUCAAUAGGAAUAAAACAAAAUCUUAACAAUGAAAUGAGUCCAUGUAAAAACAAAAAUAAACCAAAAUAAAUAUUCAAAAAUAUACAAAGUCUAAAAUUAAACUUUAAAUUAAUCCAAUAAAUUUCACCAAUUAAAAUAGAUUUAAAUUGAUAAAUAAAACCCAAUAAAAACAUCCCACAUAUUAUUAGUCUUAAUCCCAGAUCUGCAAAUUAAUCACCAAAACACAAACAUAAUCAUGAAAAUUUACUAAAAAUACCAAAAAUCUUCUCUUUGGUUCUAAUACUUAUUUUGAAAACCAUUUUUAAUUAUAAAUUUCCUCUGCAAAGUGGAUGGAGAUAUUGGCCUUAUAUCUCCUUUUUCAUUCCUCUCUAUUGUUCCUGAUCUGCACCAUUGUUGGAUCUGUUAAAAUCUGGAGAAAAAUAAGGAACUAAAACUUGUAGAAAAUAUUAGAGUAUUGAGUUGGAGAAAGGCACACAAUAUUUCACCAAUGAGAAUGCCUAUUUAUAGGCUUACAACCAAACUGAAAAUGCUAAAAACUCUCAGCUGCUAUGACUACUUCUACUAACAGAAAAACUGAAAAUUAUGGAGCAAAACUGAGUCUAACUAAGACAUUUUCAAAGGCAAACUCUCAUGAAUUCUAACACUCCUCCUUGAGAUUUGCCUUGGACAUACCAAGCUUCAACCUUAGGAACUCCAGCCUUGAUUUAGGAAGUCCUUUAGUCAUUAUGUUAGCAAGUUGCUCAUCAGUUGAGCAAUAAUGCAGCUUAACAAGUGAAUUCUUUUCAGCUUCCCUUAUGGAGUGGAAUUUUACAUUUAUGUGCUUGGUUCUGCCAUGUUGGACAGGAUUUUGAGUACUGGAAAUGGCUGACUUAUUGUCAUAGUAAAGCUCAGUUGGUGAGCUUUGUUCCUGGCCUAAAUCAGUAAGCAAUUUUCUCAACCAUAUUACUUGAUUUGCAGCAGCUGCUAAGGAGAUAUACUCAGCUUCUGUAGUUGAUUGUGCCACUACUUCUUGCUUUCUUGAAUUCCAGCAUAUGACACCUGAACUGAUUGUAAAUACAUAACCUGAAGUGCUCUUCAUAUCAUCAACACUUCCUGCCCAAUCACUAUCAGCAUAACCAUCUAGCUUAACUCCUCCUGUCUUUAAAUACCAAAUGCCAAGAUUUGUUGUACCUUUAACAUACUUUAGCACCCUCUUUGCAACUCCCAUGUGAACAUUUCUAGGUGAACUCAAGAACCUUGAAAGCAAACUAGCUGGAAACAUCAAGUCAGGUCUGGUUACUGUCAAGUAUAGUAGGCUUCCCACCAAGCUUCUAUAUGCAGAGGGUUCCUCAAGUUUCUCACCAUCAUUCUUUGAAAUUUUCUCAUUUUGUGCCAACGGAGUUGCUACUUCUUUGCAUGAUUCUAGCUUGAAUUUCUUGAGAAUAUCCAUAGCAUAUUUUCUUUGUGAAAUGAAGAUACACCAGCUGCAUUGGUAUAUUUCCAUUCCAAGGAAGUAGUUCAUGAUGCCAAGGUCAGACAUCUCAAAUGCAUCAUGCAUUUCCAUUUUGAAAUCAGCUAGCAAUUUUACAUUGCUUCCAGUCACUAGCAUGUCAUCAACAUAAAGUGAUACUACCAGUUGCAAACCAUCAUCAUUUUGUUUCAAAUACAAAGUAGCUUCAUUUUCACUCCUCCUAAAUCCAAGUUGGAUCAGAUGAGAAUCAAUUAUGCUAUACCAGGCCCUUGGUGCUUGCUUCAAACCAUAGAGAGCCUUAUGUAGCUUGUACACUUUAUGUUCAUGGCCAAUAACCUCAAAGCCUUUUGGUUGUUGAACAUAAAUUUCUUCAAGAAGUAUACCAUUUAGAAAAGUUGACUUGACAUCUAAAUGGUAUACUUUCCAUCCCAUUUGACCAGCAAGUGCAAGUAGUAGCCUUAUAGUGUCAUGUCUGGCUACUGGUGCAAAUGUAUCACCAUAGUCCACUCCAGCAACUUGAGCAAAACCCUUCACAACCAAUCUAGCCUUAUGCCUGAAGAUUGAACCAUCUGAAUUAAAUUUGGUUCUAAAAACCCAUUUUACACCAAUUACAUUCUUAACUUCAGGUAGUUCUGUCAACUUCCAGGUUCCAUUUCUUUCAAUAGCAUCAAUUUCAGCUUUCAUGACCUCAAUCCAUUCUAGAAAUCUUGCAGCUUCCGUGUAACAUGUAGGCUCAGCAUGUACAAGAUUGCACCUCUCAUACACAUCAGAUAAUGGCCUCAUCUUAAGCACAAGUGUGUCUGAAGUUGCUUCAACAUCAAGUGGACCUUCAAUGAUUAUACUUUCUAUUGCUGGUUCAAGAAUAGAUGGAGUGGUUUGAUCACAUUUAUGAACUUUCUUCAAGUCCCAAUUCCAGUAGGAGUUUUCAUCAAAGUCCACAUCUCUACUUAUCACGAUUUUCAUUCUACUCAAGCUAUAAAUUCUGUAACCUUUUGAUUCAGCUGCAUACCCAACAAAAACACCUUUCUCAGCUCUUUCAUCAAGCUUCCCUCUCUUGACAGAUGGCACAUGAAGAUAACAAAAUGAACCAAAAACUUUCAGGUGCUUGAUAGAAGGUUUUACACCAGACCAUGCCUCUAUUGGUGUUUUGCUCUAAACAGACUUAGUUGGUAGUCUGUUAAGCAAAUAUACUGAGGUGUUGACUGCUUCAGCCCAUAGAAGUUUUGGUAGCUUCUUCUCGAAUAGCAUGCACCUUGCCAUCUCCAUCACGGUUCUGUUCUUCCUCUCAAAGACUCCAUUCUGUUGUGGUGAGUAUGGAGCUAUUAGUUGGUGUACAAUUCCAGCUUCUUGACAAAAGACAUUUAACUCUUUUGAGAUAUACUCACCUCCAUUAUCAGUUCUAAGCACCUUAACGUUCUGGCCACUUUGAGUUUCAACCAUUUUCUUGAAGCUUUUGAACACAGAGAGCACUUGUGACUUGGUUUUUAGAAAAUAAACCCAAGUCAUUCUACUGAGAUCAUCAAUAAAUAAUGCAAAAUACACAUUGUUGCUCAAUGAGGCUGUGCUCAUUGGUCCACAAAUAUCUGAAUUAAUUAAUUCCAGCUUGUGAGUAGCUUUCUUGGACAUAUUUUGAGGGAAUGGUUGUCGUUGUUGCUUCCCUAGCUCACAACUUUCACAAGUUUGAGCAUUAACUGAGAUUUCAGGCAUGUCUUCAACCAUACCAGCUUCUUGCAUGAACCUCAGUGACUUCAAGUUGAAAUGACCAUAUCUUUUGUGCCAAACAACACUCUCAUCAAUCUUGGCACUAAAGACAUGACCUUCAACUAAAUCAAGCUUCAAAUAAAAGUUAUUUCCAUUCAUUUUAAUUUUUGCUAUCUCUUUUCCAUGUACAUUAGUGAUAAAACAAAAAUUUCCUUUGAAAAAGACUGCAUAUCCAUUUCUUAGCAUUUGUGCAACACUAAGAAGAUUCUGAUCUAAAUCUGGAAUGUAAAGAACAUUAGUGACAAUUUUUGUACGUCUCUUGGUGCUGAUAGCAAUUGUCCCUUUUCCUUUGGCCUGCACAACUUCACCGUUUCCCAACUUGACCUUUGGUUGAACUGAUCUAUCAAUGGAGGUAAAUAUUGACAGAUAUUUGGUCAUGUGACUCGUGCAGCCACUGUCAAUGAGCCAAGUAUUCAGUUCAUGAGAACUCAGUUCAUGAGAACUGAGUGCUUGUGAUGCCAUAAAUAAAUGCUCAUCAUCAUUUUUGUCUUCUUCAGUCACAUUUGCAUUUUGUUUUGGUUGUUGUUGAGAUUGUUUUUUCUUGGCUCUGCAAUACUUCUCACUGUGGCCAAGUUUAUUGCAGAAAUUACAAUUAAAGAGAGGUUUACCUUUGUGCCAACAAUCUUUCUCAGCAUGGUUGGUUCUUCUACAAUGAGAGCAAGACGGAAAUUUUCCUUUUCUUGAAGACCCUUCAGCUUUCUCUUUGUUGUUCUUGAAGAACUUCUUUCCUUGCAAGUUUCCAGAAUUCUUUCCCUCGUGAUUUGCUUGAAAAGCACCUUCAGUAGCUUCAUCACCUCUCAUUAAGACCCUUUGCUCUUGUGCAUGAAGCUUGCUGGUUAACUCUACAAUUGUGAGAGUUUGCAAGUCACAAGACUCUUCAAUUGCAGAAAUCUUGGCUUCAAACUUUUGAGGCACUAAAACCAUGAUCUUUUCUACCACCUUUUGAUCUGUAAAUGCCUCACCAAGAAGUCGUAUUUGGUUUACAACAUCCAUUAACCUGCCAGAAUAAUCUUUGACAAAUUCAUCGUCUUUCAUCUUCAUCAACUCAAACUCUCUCUUCAAUUUGAGGAGUCUAACAGUUUUGAAUCUUUCACUGCCCUCAAAUUCACCUUGGAGCUUGUCCCAUACUAGUUUAGGUGUUUCCAAGUUCAUGAUUUUGGUGAAGAUGUGGUCUGUAAGUCCUGAAUGUAGGCAGGUGAUGGCUUUGUCUUUCUUGAGUUUUUCUUCCUCAUAUGCUUUCAUCUGAGCAACUGUAGGAUUUGCUCCCAAUGGUGGUGGAUCAGCUUCAGACAUCACAACAUUCCACAAACCUUGAGACCUUAAAUAAAACCUCAUCUUGACAGCCCAAAUGUGAUAGUGUUCACCAUUAAACACUGAAAUUACAGAGGAAGUAUUGCUAGAAGGAGACAUGUUUGCACCACAGUUGCUUAAAAAAAAAUAGAUCACUCAACCUCACUAGUGUUUGCACUCAACCUCAUUGUGUUUAAUACUAAAAAAAAAACUUUGCCUCAUAGCCCGUAGGAAUAAUGCUCUGAUACCACUGUUAAAAUCUGGAGAAAAAUAAGGAACUAAAACUUGCAGAAAAUAUUAGAGUAUUGAGUUGGAGAAAGGCACACAAUAUUUCACCAAUGAGAAUGCCUAUUUAUAGGCUUACAACCAAACUGAAAAUGCUAAAAACCUCAGCUGCUAUGACUACUUCUACUAACAGAAAAACUGAAAAUUUUGGAGCAAAACAGAGACUGAGUCUAACUAAGACAUUUUCAAAGGCAAACUCUCAUGAAUUCUAACAGGAUCCUCAUGAUCUAUUUCCACCAAGUCCCACAAGUCACAUGCUUGCAGGUACGACUCCAUUUUCACAUCCCAUAUUUGGUAAUUUUCACCUGUGAAAACUGGAGGUGCAGACAAAAAUCUAUUUCUGCCAUAUCGGGUUUCAAGAGGAAGGAUGGGUUUUGAUUUGUUGUGGUUUAUAUCUCACUUGAUACACUCUCACACUACACAGGUCCCAAGUCAAAUAUGAAUUCAAAAAAUUCAAACUAAACUACAAACUGUUCCUCUAUCUUGUAGAAUACUCUCAACAGAAUACCAGCUUAAAUCCUGCAGCAAAUAUAGCACUUGUCAUCACUAACUUUUGGUUAAAUAAUCAUAUUGAGUCGGUUUACAACUGAAUUUAUUUGGAGGGAAUGCAAUGCAUAUCAAAAAUAAAUACAAGGCAGCCACUUCUCAUUUUGUCAAAUGUAAAUCACUCAUACUUGUGUAUGCAAAUGAAAAAGAAACAAUCAUUUUCUGAGACUUUCCUUUACCUCCUUUGGAAGUUAAGGAACUUAAUGCCAUAGGCAAAGACAAACAAGAAGAGGAGGACCCAACCAAUAUGAGCCAAGGCAACCGCUCCCAAGAAAUCAUAUUCAAAGCCUGAAGCCUCCUUAAGAUACAGCUUCACUGACUUCACACCUGCUCCAGGUACCUGAACCGGAUCCUCCUUGUUGCCCACCUGAGAUGUCACCAGUCCGUAGAUGGUCCAAGCAACAGGGGAAGCCCAGUAGUACCACCUCCACCAUAUCGGUAUUUGCUGCAGAUGUACAGUUUGUUAGAAUUCAAUAUUCUUCUACAAAAACAUACUCAAAUUCUUCGUAGGCAUACACACCAUCCUAGGGAUGAGAAAACCAGAGAAGAGAUUCCAAAAGCUUAGGAAGAAGGACAUAACAAUGGCAGCAAUUUGAUGGCUGGGAGUGAGUGCUACGAUCAUCAUUCCAUACAAUGUGAAGUAAAUAAAGCACAUGAGUAGGUAGUAGUAGAACCAUAAGAACUUAUCCACUCGCCAGUAGAAUCCCAUCAUAGAGUAGAGGAGAAGACUGUAAACCAAAGUUUGGAUUGCAACGUAAAUUGUCUCUAUGACCACCUGCAGGGCAUCCGAAUACAGAUUAGUUUAAAGUUAAGCUCUACUAGAAAUGUGUCUGUUUCUUGUCAGUUUUCUCAAAAGGCAACCUGGGCAAAUGCGUAAGGCAAUGCUGAAUACAUCCCAGCUGCCCUUUCGCGGUAGAAGACUGUUCUCUCAAUUGCCACAACAGGCUGCACUGCAGCAGUGUUGGUGGCUCCAAGGAAGAAGACAGCUGAAAACAUAGCUCCCAGCAGAUUUAGUAGGUCUUGCUCUUUGUCUCUGCAUACAAUAGUUGGGGUGUUGGUUCACAUUUUUUCUUAAUUAUUAAUGGAGAAACACCAAAAUAAUAAAUUUGCAAUACUUACAUCUGCUCUCCUUUGUUCCAGAAAAUUACUCCAAAUAGAACACCAAUAAUUAUGGUCAAGAAGAACCGGAUAGCAUUAUAGGGAGGAUUCCUCCAAUAAGACCAGUGCUGUUUCCAGAAGCAAGCCUUGCAUUGAGUAAAAAAGCUUUGAGAGUAUUUGGUGGGGAAAUAAAGGUUUUUGGAUCCUGGUGAUGGUGUGCUCAGCUCUUUGAUGAGUUCCUGAUUCCUCCUGCAACAAAAGGGGGAGUGCAAUAAAUCAUCGGAAAAAGAAUUGAGACAGAAAGAUGAUGUUCCAAGGAAUCAUAAACCACUUACUGAUAGAGUUCAGAUUUAGCAUAAAUUUCCGCAAAAUCCACACCAAGUUGAGCCUCAUAUGCAGCAGAGGUGACCUCCAGCAUCCAUGUAGCAGGAUUUUGACCAUCUCUGACUUUAGGAACCCCCGGGACAGCCUGCAGCAAGUUAUGGAUUUGAUCAUGACACACUCCUUAUAAGUAUAACAAUGGAGAUGGAGCAAGUUCACUGAAGAUGAAUAAUGCUCACUUCAAAGUACUCUACAAGCUUGUGAGAAUUGCGACCAAGAGGUCCAGCAUAAAUGACUUGUCCUCCUCUCUUCAUCAGCAGUAGCUGCAGGCAAAAAUGAUGUUGGGUUGAAGAAAGGAAUGGUGACUCCAUGACAAUCAUACCAGUAAGAAGUAUUAGAUACAAAACCAUGAAACUAAGAAAUACCUCAUCGAAUGCUUCAAAGAUGUCUAUGCUUGGCUGGUGAAUGGUGCAGACAACAGUCCGCCCUGUAUCCACUGUGUUUCUAACAGUACACAUAACAACGGCAGCUGCUCUAGCAUCAAGGCCUGUCGUUGGCUCAUCCAUGAAGAGGAUGGAGGGGUUAGCAACCAAUUCUACUGCUACUGUCAGCCUCUUCCUCUGUUCUGUUGAAAGCCCAUGUAUUCCUGGAAGGCCAACCAAAGCAUCCCUCAGGGGGUGAAGCUCAAUCAAAUCCAUUACUUCCUCAACAAACACCUAUGCCACAGAAGGAACAAAAAAACAACUGAUGAAUAUAGCUUAUAAAAGGGUGAACUAAAAGAAAAAUCAUUCAUUUGAAAAAAGGACAUGCCUGCCUUGUUUCCUUCUUGACAUCCGGAGCAAGGCGCAGCCAGGCAGAGUAAACAAGAGAUUCAUAAACAGUUACAUUUGGAGAAUGUAUAUCAUUCUGCUCACAGUAACCACUAAUACGAGGGAAAGUUGCUUGGUCUUUGGGGUAACCAGAAACGCUGAUACUUCCUUCAAUGUACCCACCAGUUUUCCUUCCUGCUAACACAUCCAUCAAAGUGGUCUUUCCAGCACCACUAACACCAACUAAUGCCAUUAGAAUACCUGGCCUGAAAGCACCGCUAGCAUCCCGCAGCAGUUGGAGACGAUCCACUUCAAUUCCUUGGCUCUUCAUUCCCUGUGAUUCAAUCCAUAAAAGAGUUUCAAAGCUCUAGACCAAGAUCAUAUCCUAACACAUAUAUUAGUCUCACUUGUGUGUCUAAAUACUCAAAACAAGUUACUUACAGCAGGCAUAUCAACAUAGUAAUUCACAUGCUCAAAUGCAAGUGAUAAGGGCUGGAAGGGCAACACCAUUCCCCUUUUAGUAGGUGCAUGAUUUGCAUCUUUGACAACUGAUUUGGUGUUUUCUCUAGUGUUCCUUACUUCCAUAUCAAUACCUGUUACCAUAGGCCUACUAUCAACUUCCAGAUAAAGAAAAUCUGAUGUUUAUGUUAUUUGUAAUGUCUAGUAUCACUAGGCUCUUCAAGAAGUGAUUAACAAGAAUUUUGUGAGGGUCAGGUAAAAAGCUGGUGUCUCCUAGAGAAGGAGAACCAAUAGCAAGAAGCAAGUUUUAUGCAAUAUAAUUUCUCAAGAGCAAGUUCAGAAAUUGUAGAACCAUACAAUAAUAGUUGAUGAAACAUUAUUAAUAGCAACAUCUUCUCCUCUCUGCAAAGGGAAAUUUGAUUUUAGGCUAUCAUGCUACUGGUUUUUGGCAUUGAUAAACCACUCAGUUUAUUGAAAAUGAACACCAUAAGGUGGCAAUCAGAGGAGAUUUGAUUCAAUGGAAAAACUAGAUAUUAACUGCUUGGUUAAUAAAAUAUAUAGAAACGCUAGAAGACAAACAAACAACCAAAAACCAGAGGAGAUCAAAGUAGGUAAAAUCUUGAACCUUCAGACAUUGGGGCAGUAGAUGCUGAAUUUCUUUCUGGGGUGGUCAGAUCAUGCUGCUUGUUAGAGUAAAACUGCUUCUCACUCUUUUCUUCAUCAUCCUCAUCAAUAAUGACAGAUUUUGAGUCACCCGGAGCUGCAUUUGAGUUUCAGAAAAUUGUCAAAACCAGAAUCUUAUUUAAAUAACACUCAGUUCUGACUGAUGGAUGAUAAUUCCAUGACUAAAACCAUUGGAGGGAAGGAAAAAGGAAAAUGGAGGUUAGUAUAAGCAAUAACUAACGGUUCAAAUAUGUCAGAGCUGCAAUGAAACAGAUAUUGAAGAGCAGAGAAAACCCCGUGAGUGCACCAAUACAAAUCCAAUACCAAUAGCCAUCCACAAACAUGCCUCUUGCCUUGAGAAGGGCUUUUCCAACUGUGGGUUCUGGAAUUCUUCUAUCGAUGUUGGGCUGUGCCAAAAACCGAUUAGCGUAUACAAAGACAGACCAAGUAAUGAAGGCAGAAAUGCCCAAGCUUAAAACAAAGUGAGAAACAAUCAUUCAAAAGCUACUAGGAAACCUUACCGCACUCCAUCUGUCAUCAAGAAAUUCAUUGAUGACAAGCGCAUUUUGUCCAUACAUCAUUGGAGAAGCAUAAUAUCCCCAUAUCAUCCAUGGUUCAAUAUCAUCUGAGGAAGAAGAAGAAACAAAUGGUUUAUUAAAUUAUCACUCAUAUGAUAUAAUCACAUGAAGAGUGCCCCUCGAUCUCCCUUUCCAUUUGAAAUAUGGCAUCAGUGUUGCAAAAACAAUCAGCUCAGUCCAUAGCAAAAAGACACAAAACACUGACCUUUGGCUACAAUGAAUCCACCCAGAACAAAAACCAGUAGCAAUGUAAAGGUACCAAGAGUGUUGGCCACAAUCUGUGUUCUUCCAAGAGCUGCAAUGAAGCGGAAGAGAGAUAGAGCCAUCUGAUGCACGCCAAAGAAUGCCAGUAAUUGACGGAAAAACCUGAACAUUUUUCAAGUCUUGGGUUGUCAUAGUUCCAUUUGUGAAUGCUAAGACAAGAUUCAGGAAGAAUGGAGGUCCAUUCACAUACCUACUAGCAGAAGGGGCAAACCCAAUAGUGUAAUACGUGAGAAUGAUCCAUAUCCCUGACUCCGUGAAUGACAAGGGGAUCCUAAGGACCCAAAUUGGUAAUGCAAAAGCCCAUGCCGGGUAAAACAAGAAAUCCCUCUGCUUAAAAAACACUGGGAGCCUGAAAAGAGUCAAUGCAAGCUCUGCCAUUCCGUUAAACAUUACAUUUAUGAGACUAUAAAACAGAGCCCCAUAGAAUUUUACUCCAUUUUGCAGUUGGCCAUGCUUCAUUUCUGUUCUGAAGAACACUGUCAUGGCAAUUACUGACAUGAUUGUAAUCUGGGUUGUCUUGAAUAUGUAUAUAAAAGAGUUGCGCUUCAUCAAUAGCCACUCCCUGGCAAAGCAUGCCUUGAAGAGUUCCCAGUUGGAGAUUCCAUACUUUUCUGUCACCAAUGCUGUAGGAUGGGUUCUGCUCUUAUUGUAAGGGAUUCCAAGGUCGUCUGAAAGCUUCUGGCCAAUAUGGAAAGAGUUGAAGUGUUGCACAAACUCGGGCACUGAGAUAUAUUUGUAAGGUUUAUUGUUUCUGAACCAGUAUUGUUCCUGGUCCUUUCUGGAAGUCACCUCUUGCAAGAAGUCUGCAACUCCUUUUCUUUUCGGGCAUUUGAAGCCCACGCUCUCAAAGAACCCAAGGAUGUUUUCACGGGGACCUUGGUACACAAUCUGACCCUCACAUAGUAAGAUAAUGGCAUCAAAAAGAUCAUAAGUUUCAGGUGCAGGUUGGAGAAGAGAGAUUAUCAUGGUUACUUCCAUGAUAUGAACCAUCUGCCUCAUAAACUUGACAAUCUGAAAAGUGGUGGAACUGUCCAGACCAGUUGAUAUUUCAUCCAUGAAAAGAGCCUUUGCUGGUCCAACCAACAUUUCUCCUGCAUUCAGUUUCAUCAGUCAUAUUAGGCUUUUGUGGAAUAUUAAAAAUCUUAAGAACAAGGAUUCCUCAGAAAUCAGACAAUUCAUAAUUGAUCAGUAGCUCAAUUCAAAUUGAAGGCAAAUGCUUUACCACUAAGUUGAAAGAAACAAUUGAUAUAGGACAUAAUCAAUGGAAAUGGGGCACAUACCGGUAGUAACACGCUUCUUUUCUCCACCAGAAAUGCCCCUUCUCAUAUCAUCUCCCAACACAAUGUCAGCGCAGAUGUCUAAUCCCAGCAUCUGUUACACACACAAUGUCAAAGAGCGUAAAGCUUGGGAAUGUAACUAAUAGGCCAGGCACCAAAUGGAAAUGGAGAUGCAAACCUUGAGCACAUAAUCUGUAACCAAACUAGUUUCUUGGCCUGCCAUUGCUGUUGCUUUCAUGAAUGCAUCUAUCUCAGGAUCUGGCUUAAUUCCAGCUUCUUUUUCUCGUCUUGACAAUUCUGCUAGUAGUUCAUAUCUGGUUCCAACUCCCAAACAUCGUCCUGAGAAGUCCAACGUUUCCCUAACUGUCAUCUCACCAUGGUGCAGAUCAUGCUGGCUAAUGUAAGCACAUGUUCUCUGAGGAACAAACUCUGAUAAUUCAUGACCACAGUAUGUGAUUUUUCCUUCCAUCUGUCCAUAAACACCGCACACAUCAGAGCAAUGAGUUCAGGAAUCAGGGACUAUCACCAUCACUAAAUAAUUCAUAUUGGGAAGGAAAUAACAAUGACACAGUGAAGGAUCGAAUUGGAUAAAAAUAUUUGUCAGAGUAACUUGGGGGGGCCAACAUACCCUUAGAUCUUUGUCCAUCUUCCCAGCAAGCGCCUGCAGCAGGGUAGUUUUCCCUGAGGCUGGAGGUCCCAGAAGCAGAGUCAUUCUGCAAAACACAAAAGCUAAUCAAGAAACCAGCAAAGAAAGGAAGUGUACUUAAUGGGAAAAUAUUUUGUUAUCCUAUUAAAUUUUCCCAGAAUUUGUAUCAAUCAAAUUAUAUAAAGACAUCAUUCAGGAGAUUUGUGUUGAGGGCAACAUGAUUGAUUGAAAGGUACUUCCAAAAAUGGAAUACAUUUACCUUGAUGGUUUCACGAUCCCACUCACAUCUUUUAGUAUCUUGACUACCCUUUUCUUAGAUGGUGAAAGCCUAAUCAGCCCAAGUAUUCCCUGUUCACGACAACAAAUAAACACAAUCAUAAUUCAUUCAUCUCUACAAAUUCCAACAGUCUACUGAAUUGAAGCAAACUUCUCCCAAAAACAUUAUCAGGAGAUUGAAGUCAUUCAUCACAAUUUGCUGAAAGGGAAAAUCAAGAAUCACCAUCGAAAACAGAAGAAGAAAAACAAAGGGACAAACAGAACAAACUACCUCUAUGAAGUUCAUGGUAAAAUUGAGCAGAGUAGGAAGUGCCCUGGUUCCAACAUAUGCGUCUCCUUCUAUUGAUAAAUGCUCAAACCGGACUUCGAUUUUUGGAAUCUCAACCCCAACCCUGUUGAGCAAACAGAUGUUACGUUCUAUAAAACUUUUCUGGUAACAAAUUCAACUGGGGCAAAGCAAGCAAAAAAACACAUGACCAACAGAGUGAACUUCAUGGGAAGAAAGAGAGAAGAGUGACCUAUCAGUCCUUUCCCUGAGCCUGAGAAGGAACUUCUCAUUAUCUUCUUCAACAACCUUAAGUAUACUCUCUAUGUGAUGCUUCCUCUCCUGCAUACCAAGAUUGGUGAAGUCAACUUCUUCAUGGACAACCUUCCCAUCAUCCAAAACUUGCUUAAGCAUCCCCUUCCUCAACCGCUCAAAGGUUGGAAGCCUUUCAAUGGCCGCCCACUUCAACUCUUCCUCAUCAUCCUCUUUCCUACUCUGAAAAGCAUCACCUUGUGCUGACAACGCCUCACGAAUACUCGCAGAAGCCCAACUUCGCCUAAUUCCAGUAUGCUAAACUUUUACGCCUGCUGCUCACGGACCUUGCUAGAUCAUCCCCAGCCAAUGCUGCAGCCAUUGUCACCCACCAAAACCCCUCAGAGUAAAGACUCCAAACCCCCCUUUAUAAUAACCCUAGAAAGCUCAGAUUCAACCGAUGAGCUCAAGAUGCUAGAGAAGGUGUGGAUGAAAUGGUGAGUAGAUGAGAUUGAUGGGCAUGGAGUGAUGUAGGAGGUGAUGGAGACUGGGAAGCGGUAGAGAAGUGGGCAUUACUGAGUGGGAGAGGAGAGUCUUUUAUGAAGUACAUGAAAAAUACUAUAUUUGAU